UUAUUCUUAAAUAUAGAUCUUAAGUUUUCGCCAUUAGAUCUCAUCCAACGAAUAAAAAUAAAAGUAUCUGUCAUUUUUGUUGACAAAAAUACCCUCUAUAUCCGUUAUCUCCUAUCUACGCCCCGUUUCUCAUAUUUUUUUUUCCUACCAACCAUACGUAAAACUAAAUUUAUCUCUUAUCUAACGUAAUACCCGUCAAUCAUGCAAUACCUUCGCUAAUCACGUAAUACGUAAAAUUAAAUUUAUUUGCUGCCAACAUAUAGUAUUCAAAAUUAAAAUUUAAAUUUGUAAUGCCCGCAUAAAUUUAAUACCCGCGAAUUUGAUAAUUUGAAUUUUAAUUUAUGAUAGUAGGUUUUUCCUUAAAUAAAAUAGUAGAUUUAAUUUUGACGAGUAUUAAAAUUUGGCGCGCCAUAAAAGCGUUAAAUAUUGUUAAAAAUAUUUUAAUACCCCAAAUCAAAACUAAAUCGUUAAUUAAAUAUAAUUUUAAAUAUUUUUAACAAAAUAUUCAAUAUUUAAAUAAUGCGUCGUAAAAGCAUAGAAUAUUUUUUAAAAAAAUUAAUACCCGCCCAAUCAAAACAAAAUCGUUAAUUAAAUAUAAUUUUAAAUAUUUUUACCAAAAUAUUCAACACCAAAAUAUUCUCCGUGUUCUCAAAUAUAAAAUAUAUUUUAUCUAUUUUAAAUAAAUCUUCAAAUAAUAAUUUAUUCUCAAAUAUAGAUCUUAAGUUUUCGCCAUUGGAUCUCAUCCAACGAAUAAAAAUAAAAGUAUCUGUUAUUUUUGUUGACAAAAAUAUCCUUUUUUUCAAAUAUUUUUUUCUACCCAACAAUCAUGUAAUACGUAAAACUAAAUUUAUCUCUUAUCUAACGUCCUACCCGCCAAUCACGUAAUAUCUCCGCUAAUCACGUAAUAUGUAAAAUUAAAUUUAUUACAUAUCCAAACAUUUUCUCAAAUAUUUUUUUUCUCAAACGUAAUACCUACCAAUCUAAGUACCAAAAUUAAAUUUUAAAUUUGUAAUGCCCGCCAAAAUUUAAUACCCGCGAAUUUGAUAAUUUGAAUUUUAAUUUAAAAUAUUUCUCUUUUUAUCAUUUCACAUGAAUAAAAUUAUUAAGAACUAAUUAUUUGGAUGGAUUGAAGUAUGAAUUGAAUUAGAUUGAUUUUCUAGGACAAGAUAAUGCUAACACACAUUGGCAUGAAAAAAUUAUUAAUAACUAAUUAUUUGGAUGGAUUGAAGCAUGAAUCGAAUUAGAUUCAUACUCUAGAACAAGAUAGUGCUAUAACACACAUUGGCAUUUGGAGAGACACUAUUGUAAACAAUUCAGUUGUUGUAUAAAAAUAGUGCACUUUAAUAUCGAUAAUUAGGAUAAAUGUACUUUUUAAUAUUUUAUUUUUUUGUGGUAUUUUAAAUUUAUUUAUCAGGAUCAAUUUAGCAAAAUUUUAUAAGUAAAAUUGUGCUUAAUCCACCUAUUCCAAAAACUCAAGAAAUAAAAUUAAGCUAAAUUUUUUACUUAUAUGAAUUCUUAUUAAAUUUACAUUUUUUUUAAUUUUAUCUAUUCUGAUGAUUUACUAAUAUUUAUUUUAUUAUUUUUCUUACUUACAAUGCAAUUUGUACGGAAGGGGAACUAAUGGUGACAUUUUCAAUUAGUUUAGUGACGAAUUUUGUAUUUUUUUUUAAUGAUACCAUGAUAGAUUUUGUGUUCUUUCUUUUAUGAUAUUGUAAUUCUAUUUUUUAUUUCUAUCAUUUUAUUUUAGUAAUGAUUAAAUAUUAUUUAUCGAAUCUAUAAUAUUUAUUUAUAAAUUUUUUUUUUUAGUAUUUGUGUGACGUGCGUUGCACGUGCACUUAACUAGUACUAAUAAAAGCGUGAGUUUUGAAUUUUUUCCUCUUUCCAAAAGUAUCUCUAUCUGUUUUACUAAUAUUUUCAUGUCCAGUCAUUUUCAACCAAUCAUUUCAAAUAAUUAUUUAAAUAAUAAUUUAUUUCAAAUAUAUAUCUUAAGUUUAUGCCAUUAGAUCUUAUCCAACGAGUAAAAAUAAAAGUAUAUUUCACUUUUGUUGACAAAAAUAUUCUUAAUAUCCGUUAUCUCAUAUCUAUGUAUUUCUCAAAUAUUUUCUUUCUAUCCGUACAUAGAAUUAAAUUUAUCUCCUAUCUAACGUAAUAUCCGCCAAUCCGCCAAUCACGUAAUACGUAAAACUAAAUUUACUUCAUAUCUACGUGUUUUCUCAAAUAUUUUCUUUCUCAACCACAAAUUAUGUAAUACUCAAAAUUAAAUAAAUUUUAAAUUUUGAAUUACGCAUAAAUUAAAUCUACUAUUUAUGCUAUCUACCUGUUUUCUUAAAUAUUUCAUUUUAUAAUACCCGCCAAUCACAUAGCACUCAAAAUUAAAUUUUAAAUUUUAUUUUAAAGUUUGAAUUAAGCAUGAAUUAAAUCUACCAUCUACGCAUUUCCUCAAAUAUUUUCUUUCUAAUAUACCCACCAAUCCUUUCUCAUGCACGCCAAAAUUUAAUACCCGUCAAUCUGAUAAUUAAAUUUAAUACCCGUCAAUCUGAUAAUUUAAAUUUUAAUUCAUAAUAAUAGAUUUUCUAAGUAGAUUUAAUUUUGGGAUAUUAAAUUUUGGCGUGCCAUUUAAGCGUAGAAUAUUACUAAAAAAAUUUAAUACCCGUCCAAUCAAAUCUAAAUAGUUAAUUAAAUAUAAUUUUAAAUUUUUUUAGCAAAAUAUUCAAUAUUUAAGUAAAAUCCGUCAAAAUAUUUUACACGUUUCUCAAAUAUAGAGCAUAUCUUAAUAUUCUCGCAUAUAAUAUCUAUAAUACUCAAUCUUUAUCUUAUUAUAAUACUUAUCACACAUACAAUACAUCUUUUUUCGGUAUUUUCUCAUUCUCACCUAUAAGUAUAUUUUUUAGUAAUAUCCUUUUUCACUUUCACCUAUAUUUUUUCAAAUAUUAUCAAAUAUUUUUUUUAAUAAUAUCCUUUCUCAUUCAUUGCCGACACAUCGUCAUCAUCCUCCUCAUCGUCAUCGCCAACGGUGGCAUAUUGUUGCCUUCGCUACCUUUGCCACAGUUAAAGAGGUAUUUUCAUCCAAUCUGAAAUUUUUUUAAUGUUCUUUUAUACUAUUUUUAGCAUAUAUAUAUUUUUUUUAUUUACUCAUUUUCAUCUAUACAUUUCUCAAAUAUCUAUACAUUUCUCUCAAAUAUAAAGUAUAUAUUUUUUUGUAAUAUCCUUUUUCAUUUUUAUCUAUAUUUUUUUUAAAAUAUUCUCAAAUUUUUUUUUAGCAAUAUCCUUCUCAUUUGUCCCUGUCGCUGGCACCGACAUAUCGUCAUCGUCCUCCUUAUUAUCACUGUAAUCACCGGCGCCGGCACAUUGUCGCCUUGGCCACCUUCACCACAGUUAGAAAGGUAUUUUGAUCCCACUAGAAAUUUUCUCUUUUAUUUUUUUAAUGUGCCUUUAUAUUGUUUUACUUCUUUAAGUUUUUUUUCAUGAUUUUUUAUCUAUCAUAUUGGGAUUGGGGCUAAACUUAAGCAGGAAAAAAAAAUUGCUAUUUGAAAUUUGGAUUGCUUAGAUUAAAUAUGGGCAAGCCUGCUUAAUUUUGGCCUUUAGCAUAUUUAAAUUUCUACUUACAAUUGUGAUAAACUCUUCGGCCUAAACUAAAGAACCUACAAAAAACUAAUUGAUUUGGGCUUCAACUUAUUUAGAUUGUAAUUUGAACUUAAAAUUGUUUAGAUCUGAAAUAAAUUUAUUAGGACAAAAUAAAAUACUCCAGAAUGAAAGAUUUAAAUUGAUUUGGGUUUGGACUUGCCUAGGUGUACUAAAUUUAUCUAUACUACUUAUAAAAGAGUGAGUUUUAAAAUUUUUUUCUUUUCCAAAGUGCUAUCCCCUAUUAAUAUAAUUCCAAUCAUAUACUAACGAUAUCAUUCAUUCAACUUUUAUGAUAUAAAUCACAGCCGUACAAUUUUUAUUUUAUUUUCAAAUUAUCAUAAAAUAUAUUAAUUCUUAGUCAUUGGAUAUAAUUCUUAUAUUCAAUGGCCGACGAAUUAAAUAUCCGUCAUUUUUUUUAUCUAAAUUGUCCUCAGACAAUGCGUAUUAAAUUUAAAUUUACAAAUUUUGGAUAUCAAAUUUGAAUAAACAAUUAAAUUAUUUAAUUACGGUGAAUCAAAAUUAAAUUUCAAAUUUCAAAGUAAAUGUGAAUUAAAUUUUGACGCUUUUAGUUUAAACAAUAUACUUAAAAUUUAAAUUUAUUAGAAUUCAAAAAAUAUAUAAAAAUAAUAUAGGAUAUUGCAGAUAUUUUCUAAAAUAAUAUAACAUAUAAAUUUAUAAAUAUAAAUUUUAUUGUAAAUUUUUUUUGUAAAUUUUAAAAUUUUAAAAUUCAUACCACCAAUAACUAUUAAAAUUUAAAAUAUAAAUAUAAAUUUAAUUUAAUUGAAUGUGACGUGUAUCGCAAGUACUAUAACUAGUAACAUAAAAUGCAUCACUUUAUUUUCACUUCUUUUUAAUAUUUAUCUUAAAAAUAAUUUAUUUUUGAAAAUCGUUUUAUAUAACGUGAAUUAAAUCAUAUGUUUUAACACAAAAAAAAUAUUAAUACAAGAAUUUUUUUUUGAGUUUCAAAAGAACACAUAUUUAAACAGGUUAAAAAACUCUAUAUUUUUAAAGACAGCAUGUUGUAUAUUUAUAAUACUUACUUGCAAAUAUUACACUACUUAUGAAUAGAAAGUCGGUGACGAACUACUUUUGAUAAAAAAAAAAAAAACUCAACAACCCUUUUGGUCUUAAAACUCUCUAAGAUUCCAAUUUUUCAAACGAAAAUCUGGAUUCUAAACUCUGUUACAUCUGCCCAAAUAAAGAGAAGAGUAUUAGAGGUCGUAGUAGGAGAAGAGUAAUUAGGAGAGUCAAUAAGAGAAGAGGAAAAGAGGAGAGCUUAGCUUUUUUCUUGUUGAAGCUUCAGAACCAGGGGCGGUCGGCCGUGGUGAUCGAGAAAGGGCGAGGAGCUUCGUUGAUGGGCGGAACAAAGAAGGAGCGACAGCAGGAAGCGGAAGCUCGAAGCAGAGUUAGGCUUUGGGUCGGAGCCUCAGAUUUCCGGAGCGGAGGAAAAGGCGAACCCAAGAACCGCCGGGCUGUGGAUAGUUAGGAGACGGGCGAACCGACGCCCGCUUGCCCGCAUACAGGUGGAUUGGGCGGCCCGGCUCGCGGAUCGGGGCGAGAAGGCGGACCCAAGACUCGUCGGACUAUCGAUAGUACGGAGAAAGGCGAACCGGCGGCCGCUUACCCGACUACCAGGCAUUCUUGGACCGGACCAGCCCGCUCUGGCCCACAUUUCCAUCGAAUUCGGUCCACGAGGAAUCAGAAGCCCUUCUUGUAUUUCAAUUCUCAGUUUAGUACUAUUCAAUUUAACAAAUUGCAUUGUAGUCCAUUGUACAAGGGAAUAAAUAGACAGAUUGUAACUGAACUCGGAGAUUAUUAUGGAAAUUGAUAUUUUCUUCUACUCUCAUCUUCUUCCUUCACCUCUUCUCUGACUCAAUACCUCUUCUAUUCUUCCCUUAUCUCUCUCUUUUUUUUCAAUCCCAUCCUUUCAUUUUUAUUCUUUGAUCCCACUGCGUAUGUUUGGAUGCGGCAGUCAUUGUGAUGCUUAUUUGAUAAGACCAUCGUCCUCAACAUCGUCCUCGUCUUAGCAAAAUAUCACCAUAGACGGGUUGCGUAGAGUCAGGUACGUUACAAUUGGUAUCAAAGCAGUUUGAUCCCAGGACACUGUGUGGUGAAAUCGCUUCCUAACUCCAAUCGUAGCAUUAUCGAGUUUAAUCGCGAGUAAAUUUCUGCGCUGCCAAAUCUGAUUCGAGAUUGGGUUUGGAUAAAAGAAAUCACCACAGAAAUAACCCUAAAUCGAAUCACGAUUAGAGGACACCCCCUUAAUCCUCAGAUCCAUAGUAUCCCAUUGGGCAAUAACUUAACCAAUAGGAUCAGCCCUCCGGAAACCAUCAUAAGGCAACCAAUCAUUCAAACCAAGAUUCAUUUCUUGCGAAAAAUACUUUUCUGAGCAUCAAGAUUGGGGGCAAUCGAGCAUUAAGUUUAAAUUUAAUCCAAAUGAGUAUUUAGAAGAAAUAGAAAUGGCCGAAGGAACUAGAUUGAGAUAUCUCAGUGAUCACCUCCGUUCCUUAGAAGAAAGGUUCCAGAAAUUGGGGGCCGAGCAUCAAACAGAGAUGGAAGUACUCAACCAUUAGAUCGCUGAAGUAAAAGGGACUGGGCAGCGACUAUAUGAAGUGUUGUUACAUUUUAUUAUUAAAUGUUAAUUUUUUUUUUUAUAACAUUUGCAUUGAAGAUGACAUAACCUAUGCAUGCAUUCAUAGUGCAUUCCUAUAACCUAUGCACGUAUUUUCAUUCCUAUAACUCCAAGCUAUUUAAUUCUUGUAAGUUUCACAUUUAAUUAGAAAGUUAAUAUCAUAUAACUUCUAACCCUAUGAGCCUAUAUAUAGAGUGCAUUUCGUUUUUUGAAAUAAUGAAAAAAAAAAUAAUAAGUUAUUUCUAUUCCUGUGAGAAAGAGAAGGUCAAAGAAAGGUGUUCUUUUGAUGGAGCUUUCGGCUCAUCUACUUGUGCAGAGUUGGUGAAGCCGCACGACGAGAGUCGAGCCGUUGUAUCCUGGAGGGGACAAGUCAGUGCUCUGCUACAUCGGUUCAAAGGCUUUGCCAAUCGCAGAGGGCUUGAAUCUCCUUAAAGAGAGCGAGAUAUCCGUGCCUCGGCUUGAUCGACUCGUUGAUACUUUUUUAAAUUAUUUUGUAGCUAACCUCUAUUUUUUGAAUAUUUACACCAACAAUUUUAAGGAGAUUCAAAGAUGGAGGCUACACGCGUAAAGUUCAACGAUACAGCCGGAGAUCUCAACAAGCCCUUCCGCUUCAACGGAAGCCACUUCAAGAGGUGGAAAGGAAAAGUGUUAUUCUACCUCAAUUUACUUAAAGUUGCAUAUGUUCUCACGGAGAAGAAUCCAAAGAAAAUGAAUACCGAUGAUAUAAAUGAAGACGAACUUCUCGAACACUAUGAGAAAACUGAAAAAUACGAGAAUGAUGAGUAUAACUGUCGGUAUUAUCUUCUUAACUGCCUUUCGGAUCAAUUUUAUGAUUAUUAUGAAAACACUUACUCCUCUGCAAAGAAGAUUUGGAAGGCAUUGCAACUUAAAUAUGAUAUAGAGCAAGCUGGUGCAAAGAAAUAUGCUGCUAGCCGCUUCUUUCGCUACCAGAUGGUCGAAGGAAAGUCCGUGGUUGAGCAAGUUCAAGACUUUCAGAUGAUCGCUCAUGAAGUUCAAUCUGAAGGAGUCAAGUUUGGAGAUAACUUGAUCGUACUAGGGAUCAUCGACAAGCUACCACCAUCAUGGAGGGAAUUCCGAAAAACCCUUCGACAUAAGCAAAAGGAAAUGUCUCUCGAGACAUUAAUUGCACGCAGUCGCGUGGAAGAGGGGGCAAAAGGCCAAGAUACACUUGAAGCAAAGAGAAUGAUGCUAGCGCCACUAAGGUAAACUUAGUAUCUUUUAAUACUUUACCUAAUAACAAUCGUUCUAGAAAAACAUACUUGAAGCCUAAGAAGAAAAUUAGAAAGAACAGUGAUAGACCUCAAUUUAAGAAAAAUGACCAAGGACCUCCUUCUUAUGUGAAAAAUAUAGUUUGCUAUGUCUGUGACAAAAGUGGGCAUAUUGCUCGAACUUGCAAAUACCGGAAACAUAAAGCUUUACCUCAAGCUAAUGUUACCGAGGAGCCACUUGUGGCGAUGAUAACAGACAUAUGCUUAGUGGAGAAUGCUGAAAGAUGGUGGGCAGACUCUGGUGCCAAUAGGCAUGUCUGACAUGAUGAGACUUGGUUUAAAAUAUAUACUCCCUAUGAACAACUAAGAAGUAUUAUGCUUGGUGAUUCGCAUACUUCUGAAGUUUUAGGAAGUGGUGAGGUCGAGUUAAAAUUUUCUUCUGAAAGGGUGCUUAUUUUGAAAGAUGUGCUGUAUACACCCUCGAUUAGAAAGAACUUGAUGUCAAGUUUUCUUUUUCAUAAAGCUGGCUUCAAACAGACCAUCGAGUCUGAUCAGUAUAUGAUUUCAAAGAAUGAAAAAUUUGUAGGUAAAGGUUAUGCAUGCGACGGAAUGUUUAAAUUAAACAUUGAGAAUAAAGCAUUAUCUACUUCUGCUUACAUGCUUUCUUCUGUGAAUUUUUGGCAUGCUCAUUUGUGUCAUAUCAACAGCAGAUAUGUUAGCUUGAUGAGUAGUUUAUGAUUAAUUCCCAGAUUGAAUAGUGAUUUUGACAAAUGUGAAACAUAUAGUAAGUCAAAAAUCACUAAACGACCUCAUAAAAAUAUUGAAAGAAGUACCGAAUUACUUAAGCUAAUUCACAGUGAUAUUUGUGAAUUUGAAGGUAAUCUAACUCGUGGAGGAAAUAGAUAUUUUAUCACUUUUAUUGAUGACUUUUCAAAAUAUACUUAUGUUUAUUUAUUAAAAAAUAAAAGAGAUACUUUUGAAAAUUUUAAAGAUUUCCUCCAUGAAGUAGAAAACCAAUUCGGUAAAAAGAUAAAGAGAAUUAGAAAUGAUCGAGGUCGUGAGUAUGAAUCUACAGGAUUCAACUCUUUUGUGCAGUCUUUAGGAAUUAUCCAUGAGACUACUGCUCUAUAUUCACCUGCCUUUAAUGGAGUGGCUGAGAGAAAAAAUAGAACACUUAUUGAGCUAACAAAUGCUAUGAUGGUUGACACUGGUGUACCCUUAAAUCUUUGGGGUGAAGCUAUUUUAACUAUAUGUUAUGUCUUGAAUCGCGUGCCACAUAAGAAGUCUAAGGUGACACCCUUUGAAUUGUGAAAAGGUUAUAAACCAAAUUUGGGAUAUCUUAAAGUGUGGGGUUGUCUAGCAUAUGUGAGGCUAUCAGACCCUAAAAACCCAAAUUGGGUGUUAGAGUUGCCACUUGUGUUUUUCUUGGAUAUGCUUUGAACAGUACGGUCUAUAGAUUUUUAGACAUUGAAAAUAAUGUGAUUUUUGAAUGAAGAGAUGCUAUUUUUCAUGAAGAAAAUUUUUCUUAUAAAUCGAAAAAUAGUGGGGGUGAAGAUUUUAAAAGUGUUUCAAAUAAUCCGAGUUCUUCAAACUAUUUCUUACAAAAUCAAGAAGAAAAUAUUUUUGAACCAAGAAGAAAUAAACGAAACAGAAUAGAAAAGGAUUUUGGCCCUGAUUAUGUUGUUAUGAAUAUUGAAUAAAAUUCACUUUCUUUACAAGAAGCUUUAUGUUCAAAUGAUUCAAUUUUUUGAAAAGAGACUGUAUCUGAUGAGAUGGAAUCCCUAAUUUCUAAUAAAACAUGAAAAUUAGUGGAUUUACCUCCAGGCUGUACAACAAUUGGUUGUAAAUGGGUCCUCAGAAAGAAAUUAAAACCGAAGGAGAGUGUAGACAAGUAUAAAGCAAGACUUGUCGCAAAAGGUUAUAAACAAAAAGAAAAUCUAGACUUCUUUGAUACCUUCUCUCCGGUGACGAGAGUGAUAUCCAUCAGAGCUCUGAUUGCUAUUGCUGCAAUUCAUGACUUACAAAUUCAUCAGAUUGAUGUAAAAACUGCCUUUCUAAAUGGUAACCUAGAUGAGAAAAUUUAUAUGGACCAACCUGACGGGUUCAUUGAGCCUGGACAAGAAAAUAAAGUGUGCAAGCUAAAUAAAUCCUUUUAUGGCUUAAGGCAGGCACCUAGACAGUAACAUGAAAAAUUUGAUUCUUGCAUGAUUGAGAAUGGCUUUAAAUUAAACAAGUAUGAUAAGUGCAUCUAUUACAAAAUUUUUGAAAAGUUGCAUGUAAUUGUUAGCCUUUAUAGAGAUGAUUUGCUAAUUUUUGGGUCUAACUUAAAUGUUAUAAAUGAGACAAAAAUUAUGCUAAAUUAUUAUUUUGAAAUGAAAGAUCUUGGUGAGGCUAACUAUAUUUUGGGUAUGAAAAUUACCAAAACACCGGAUGAGAUCUUUCUUGAUCAGUCGCAUUAUGUUGAGAAAAUUUUAAGAAAGUAUAACUUUCUUAAUUGCAAGCAUGUGACUACACCUUUUGAUUCGAGUGUUCACUUAUUUCCUAUUAAAAGUGAAAAUGAAAAUACGCGCAUAGGUUAUAGGAAUGCACUAUGAAUGCAUGUAUAGAUUAUGUCAUCUUCAAUGCAAAUGUUAUAAAAAAAAAAUUAACACUUAAUAAUAAAAUGUAACAACAUUCCUCCAUUCAUUUUAUUAUUUCGCCUAUGUGAGCAUGGAAGUGGGGCCGCAUCCUAUGAGAACGGGCUUAUUCUCAAAUAUGCUCAUGAAAACCACGAUCAGCACAGAGCCGUAACGUGCUAGCUAUUAAAGCUCAUGUCAACACCUGGAUUGUUAUAUAUGAGCCAAUAACUUUCUAUUUCCCCUAAGCAGCCAAAGUUCAAGUCUGAGACCACUUUGGCUCUGGAGUAGAGAUUACUGUUUCACUAAGUGAAUGUUCAAUGCAGAGCACAUCUUUAUUAUGUAUAACGAUCCCUUUUUGUCCAUCAAAUUCUCACAUAUUCUUAAUAAUAAAAUGAGUGGGGGAAUAUUGUUACAUUUUAUUAUUAAAUGUUAAUUUUUUUUUAUAACAUUUGCAUUGAAGAUGACAUAACCUAUAUAUGCAUUCAUAGUGCAUUCCUAUAACCUAUGCACGUAUUUUUAUUCCUAUAACUCCAAGCUAUUUAAUUCUUGUAAGUUUCACAUUUAAUUAGAAAGUUAAUAUCAUAUAACUUCUAAUCCUAUGAGCCUAUAUAUAGAGUGCAUUUCGUUUUUUGAAAUAAUGAAAAAAAAAAAAGUUAUUUCUAUUCCUGUGAGAAAGAGAAGGUCAAAGAAAGAUGUUCUUUUGGUGGAGCUUUGGGCUCAUCUACUUGUGCAGAGUUGGUGAAGCCGCACGACGAGGGUCGAGCCGUUUUAUCCUGGAGGGGACAAGUCAGUGCGCUGCUGCAUCGGUUCAAAGGCUUUGCCAACCGCAGAGGGCUUGAAUCUCCUUAAAGAGAGCGAGAUAUCCGUGCCUCGGCUUGAUCGACUCGUUGAUACAUUUUUAAAUUAUUUUGUAGCUAACCUCUAUUUUUUGAAUAUUUACACCAACAUGAAGCAUUACAGGUCGAAGCUGCCAAACGGCAUGAGGAGCUGCUUAAGUUGUUAGCAGCUCAGCCACCUCCACUCAAGAGCCAAGACGUGGCAAGCCCUCUUGAGGGCAAAAUUCCACCAUGCGGUAAUCUUGGGAACAGUAGAAUGCCAAUAACAAUCAGAGCAGAUAAAGGCAAAGGGAUUUUACCAACUCCAAUGAGACAACCAGAAGAAGAUAAGAAUCACAAUUCACCAUGUAUCUAUCAACAAGCAUAACCAUCAACAAUUACCUUACCUGAGACUGGAUUUUCCUUUUUUUGAUGGUGAAGACCCUCGAAGUUGGAUUGAAAAUUGCGAGCAAUACUUUGAGUUAUAUCAAAUACCCCAGCACCAAUGGUUAAGUGUGGCAACCAUGCAUUUGAUUGGUAAGGCAAGGACAUGGAAACAGGGAUAUUUCAUUAACAAACAACUCGUUUCGUGGGAUGAGUUCACCGAGGCCGUAUGUCGAAGAUUUUCAUAAAUGGGAGAGAGAUACGUAAUCUGGGAAUUCAGUAAUUUAAGGCACAUGGGUACAUGUGAAAAGUACCAAGAAAGGUUUGAAGAAUUGAGAUUCCUACUACUUUAUUACAAUCCCCAUCUAAUUGAAGAGUACUUUGGCCUGAAGGAGGAAUUAAUUCCAUUCCUAAACAUCGCGCAUCCGUGUUCAUUGGAGGAAACAUACGAGCAAGCUCAACUACAUGAAAAGGCCCUUGCUGCCCUUAACCGAAGGAACAGAUACAAUCCUAAGGCAUUAGGAGCACCAUACGAAUCGAAUUCUUUAUAUAAGAACGCUGUCAGCAAGCCCACUGAAAAUACCAAGCCUCAAUAUUCCACCUUACAAAAGAAUCGUACAAACCAAACCCCGAUUAACAAGCAACUAAUGGAUCAAAGGAGAGCUGCUGGAUUGUGUUUUCGAUGUGGAGAAAAGUACCACCCGGGGCAUGUUUGUGCCAACAAAACCCUAAAUACCAUGCAGUCUAUGGAAGAAGUCAUGGAAGUUUACGAUGAAGACUGUUUACACGAGGAACAGAAUAAAGGAGUAACUUCAAUGGGGGAACAACAAGAAACAAAAGUAAUUCCUGAUGAAGGAGAACUACAAGAAAUUGGAGUUUCCAUACAUGCCUUGAGCGGAGAAAAGCCCCAAGAUACUAUCAAAAUACGAGGUGAAGCAAAAAACAAAACAAUUACUAUUCUGAUAGAUACGGGAAGCACGCAUAGCUUCAUUGACUUACAAGUGGCUAAGGAGGUAAGAGCAAAAAUGCUGACAGCAUUGCCGUUGGUAGUGACAGUUGCUAAUGGGCAUAAGGUGUUAAGUAAACUUCAAUGCCCGGGGUUUUCUUGGACCAUGCAAGGACCACGCAUUCUCAACAUAUUUAAGAGUGAUCAGGUUGGAGGGUUCAAGCAUCGUGUUGGGUAUUGAUUGGCUCAAAUCCUACGGAAAGGUAACCUUUGAUUUCUUAUCAAAUUCAGUCACCAUUACCAAAGAGGGACAGAUACUAGAGUUGAAAGGGAUUGAAGAAGGAGCUAAGCUAAAACUCAUUACCGCAACCCAAUGGAGUCAAGAGAUGGAAACAGGAGAGUGUUACAUUUUAAGUCAUCAAAUGCUACCCGAAAAACCCAAGCCAGAAGCAAACAUUCACCUUUGCAUCCAGCAAGUGUUAGACUAGUGUCCAGAUAUCUUUGAGGAGCCGACAGGGUUACCACAGCCUCUCAGCCAGGAUCACAAAAUUUUGUUACAAUCUAACACCACGCCAAUUAAUGUAAGGCCAUAUAGAUACUCACAUGAACAAAAGGAAGAGAUUGAGAGGCAGAUAAGAGAGCUAUUGAACAACUCGAUAAUACAGCGUAGCAACAGUCCAGUCGCCUCACCGGCUCUGUUGGUAAAAAAGAAAGACGGGAGUUGGAGGAUGUGCAUUGACUAUCGGCAACUUAAUAAAAGUACUAUCAAGGACAAGUUUUUCAUACCCAUCAUCGAUGACCUAUUAGACGAAUUGGGAGGCUCGAAAUACUUCUCCAAGAUAGACCUGCGAUCUGGUUAUCAUCAAAUCAGGGUGGACCCAUCUGAUAUCCCAAAUAUAGCAUUCUGAACUCACCAAGGACAUUAUGAGUUUAAGGUUAUGCCAUUUGGCCUCACCAACGCACCCGCCAUCUUCCAAGCUAUUAUGAACUGCACGUUCGAACCUUACUUACGAAAAUUUAUUUUGGUAUUUUUUUAUGACAUUUUGAUCUAUAGUAAAAGUUUGGAGGAUCAUGUGAAGCACUUACAAAUUACAUUAGAAGAGUUGCGAAGAAAUCAAUUAUAUGCUAAAAGGAGUAAGUGUUACUUCGGGCAAGACAAGGUGGAAUAUUUGGGCCAUAUUAUUUCCGCAGAAGGAGUCGCCAAACACCCAGACAAGAUUGAAGCUAUGAUCAAGUGGCCAACACCCAAAUCUGUUAAGGAGCUUCGAGGAUUUUUAGGACUAAUGGGUUACUAUCGGAAAUUCAUUAAAAGGUAUGGACAACUUAGUAAACCAUUGACCAAACUAUUGAAAAAGGACCAUUUCUGGUGGAACGACGACACCCAGCUAGCAUUUGAAGAGUUGAAGGCAGCCAUGACUAAAGCUCCGGUGUUAGCUAUGCCCAACUUUGAUCUAUCUUUUACCAUAGAGGUUGAUGCAUGUGACACGGGAAUCGGAGCUGUAAUGUCUCAAAACAGAAAACCAAUCGCUUAUUUGAGCAAGGCGAUCGGGGGUAAACAUCUUGGGUUGUCUACAUAUGAAAAGGAGUUUCUAACUAUACUCAUGGCAGUGCAAAAAUGGAAAUAUUAUUUAAGCAUAAGGACCUUCAUAAUCAAUACGAAUCAUGAAAGUUUAAAACAUCUUUUGGAAUAACGAAUAUCAACUCCAAUGCAACAAAAGGGAAUGAUGAAGUUAAUGGGCCUUAACUAUACAAUCCAGUAUAAAAAGGGGAAGGAAAAUGCUAUAGCCGGUGCAUUAUCGAGGAUCGUUAACGAAGAAGGCAUUACGCUGGCUAUAACAGCAGCUAUACCAACUUGGGUUCGAGAGGUGGCGGAGAACUAUAAAAGGGAUCCACAUUGCGAGAAAAUGAUAGGUGAGUUAGCUUUGCAUCAAAACACCCAAGGGGACUACUCAUAUGGCAAUGAGCUGCUACGAUAUAAGGGCAAAUUGUACAUUGGGGAAACAGGACCAUUAAGGAAAAGAAUUCUUGACCAAAUGCAUAAUUCCGCUUUGGGAGGCCAUUCAAGGAUACAGAACACCUACCAAAGAGUCAAAAGCAUUUUUAUUGGCCGGGGUUAAGGAGAGUAGUUGAGGAGUGGGUAAAGGGGUGUACCGUAUGUGCUCAGAACAAGGUGGAUGGAACACCCUACGCAGGUAACUGCUAAAAUAAAGGACUAUUUAUAGACACAUUUGGGUGCAUAGAAAUUGGAUGAAAGAUAUUGGCAUGUAAAAUUUGUUUGUACUAUUUUUUGUGGCAAUAUUUGUAGGCCAUAGGCUUUUAUAAAAAAAUAAGAAGAUGAUUGAACAUGCCUUGUGGAUGAACUUCUUUUCUAUUAUCAUAAUAACUUAAAUGCAUUCUCAGUGAAUAAUGAAUGACAACCUUAAAAAUAUAAAUAAAUAAAUAAAAGACAAAAGUUACAGCCAAGAUUUUGUUUUUAAAUUGAUUGUUAAAAGAAGGUUUGCAUGUUAUAAGGAUAUUAAAUAUUAAAUAGUCUCGGAGAAAUAAUAUUGUAAGGAUAAAGAGAGACAUCAUCCAUUAACUAUAUAUCCACCAAUGAUCAGAAAGCACAUAGCCGAGAAAUUUCUAAUAGCGAGUUUAUAUUUAACAUUUAUGUUUUUUGAAAAAAAAAAUCAAAAUUAUCCUUGAUUUAGAGCUAGAAUUCUUAAAUAUGUCAUAUUUCUGGUUUCUCUUUUUUUUUUGAUUUUUUUUUCUUUUAUAUUGCUCGGUGACCCUUUUACACUGGAAACUCCUUUACAAACUAUCUACAUAAUAUUAACCCGAUGUAAGGGCACAAACCCGAGCACCAAUUUCGAGUUUCCACAACAAAAAUUUUAGGAUUCUGCAGUUUCCUUUUGGAACAUUGCAUUGCUGCCAACGCAGCUUAACACUAACUUUGGAAGGAAAAAAUUGCACAAUACUCUAGAACUUUAUAUUAAAUGAUAUUUAUAUUUUAUUAAUUAGUAAAAACGUAUAGAACUUGUUUAAACUAUGGACCAUAUUUCAAUUUACUAUCAGAUCAUUCAAAAAUUAAAUUUUACCAUCCAGUCUUUCAGUUUGUUUAAUUUGAGUCAGUCAACGCCACUUUAAAUCAACGAUACUUCGAAUUUAAAAUUUAAGCUAAUUUUUUACUUUAAUAAAUUUAUAGUUGUGAGAAUUACAUAAAAUAUACUAAUUAAACCAGUAAAAAUAAACGACUCAUCCAAAUUUUGAAGUCAAAGUAUAACAUUCCAAUAACCCUAUAGUGGAUGAAAAAAGAGUUUUGAUUAAAAAUGUAAGAAACCACGCACCCUAAUUAUACUAAUAAUAAUAAUUGAGAUUAAGUAUUUUUAGUCGGUGGUUUAGACUGAUGAGUUAUAAUUGCUAACGCGAAGUCAAGCAAAUUGAAAGGUUGAGCAGCCAACUCAAAAUGGUUCAUAAUUCAUGUAAAUUGUGUAUUCUUUUUUUAAUUUUCUAGAUCAAAGAAAAAUAAUUUAUUCACCAAUUGUUUUCAUGCUCAUUUUCAUACUUCUAGAAACGGGAAUUAAUUGGAUCUUAGAAAUAAAUUGUAACUUUAACCUACUACAAAAUUCUAAUUUUCAUGAUUUUUCAAAAUAUGCAUUCCAUCGUCUUGCUAAUUUAUCAUAGCCUUAAAUAAUGAGAUCAUUUAUUCUUUCUUAUACUCUUUUGCGCAUUUUUUUACAUUUCUCUCAACAACGAAAUAAGCCAACCAAAUUUUGGGCGUGUUUGGUUCGCUUCUUUUUCAUCCUGGAAUCGGAAUCGGAAUGGGUGAAUCCGUUUGUGGGUGUUUGAUACGCGGGAGUCCCAUUCCAAUUCCGAUUUCCGAAUGGAAUGGGAAUCCCCCAAUCAUCUCUUUUUUCAAUCCGGCCUAGGAGGCCGGAUUGAAAGUUGAAUCCGGACGGAAUGGAUAUUUAUUCGGAUUAAAUUUAUUUUUUCAAAUUUUUUAAUUAAAAUAUGAGUUAAAAUUUAAAAAUUAAAUAUAUAAUUUUAAAUUUUAAUUUAAACUUAAAUUAAAAAUUAAAAUUUAAUCAAGUAUUUCGAAUCUAACUUAUGAAUUUGAAUUUAAAUUAAAUUUUAAUUUAUAUAAAGUUUUAUUCAAAUUUUAUUUCAAACUUAAAUUAAAUUUAUGGAUUCAAAUUAAAAUUUAAAUUGUAAUUUUAAGUUUGAAUUUGAAUAAAUCAAAAUUUAGUUUCAUAUUUUGAAUUAUCCACUCAACUUCAAAGUUUAAUUUUUUUUAAAAAAACAUAGAUUUAAAAUUUUGACAUUAUUUCAAAAUUUUGAUGUAAUUUUUUAAUAUUUAAUAUUUAAUUUGAAUUUAAAUUAAUAUAUUAUAAAGAUAAUGUUAAUAUACUAAUUUGAUUACGUUUUUUAUAUCACCUGAACCAAACACCGACAAUAGAAAUGAUUUAUUCCGAUUUCGAUUCAGGUGAUGAACCAAACAGAAUUAGGUAAUGAGUCAUUCCGAUUCCGAUUCCAGUUUAUUUUGAUUCCGAUUCCGACUCCAACUUCGAACCAAGCACGCCCUUUGAGUGAACAAAACAAGAUGCUACGCAAGUUGUUCCAAGAGUCAAAUGAUGCUACAGAUUAGGACUUUUUUUCAAAAUAAUCCUAUAAAUUUUUUUAAUUAGGUAAAUAACUCUAUGAAAUUUUUUUUGACAAACUAAUCCUUCUUUUGCCAUGUAGGAGCCACGUUAGAAUUUUUUCUUAAAAACGGUGAAUAAUUCACAGCCUUCAUAAAGACGAUGAACGAUUCAGUGCGUUUCUUAUUUUUUCAGAAACUUCUUGCGCUUAUUUACUAUUUCUUUCUAUAUCCCAUAUAUAAUUCUAACCACCACAUAAAAAUUUUAACAAAUCACAUACAAUCUUAACAACCUGAAAAUCAUAAUAAUCUAUCCGUACAAUCCAUAUAUAACAACCUGAAAAUUCUAAUAAUCUAUUCAUAUAAUUCUAACUAUCAAAUAAAAAUUUUAAUAAUCCACUUAUAAUCCUAGCAAUUUCACUUUUUUUAUAUUUUCCAUAUAAUCCACGUACAAUCUUAAUAAAUGCGGUGAACAAUUCACCGUCGGUAAAUAACAUGAAAGAAUGCGGUGAACAAUUCACCACUUUUGAAAGACAUGAAACAGAAUAAUUCACCGCGUUUUGAAAAAAAAUUCUACAUGGCGAAAAAAGGAUUAGUUUGCCAAAUAUAAAUUUGACUGGACUAUUUUACAAAUUACAAAGUUUUAGAGGAUUAUUUUGGAAAAAAGUCCACAGAUUUAUAAGAUGAUACGUAGUAUUUAAACUUGUGUAUAUGCUCAUGCAAUUAAACGUUAUAGUUGUAAUUUUGUUUUAAAUGGCUGAAACAUUCUGUAACUGUUAUACCACAUCCAGAAGAUACUAAUUCUGCACCCAUAAAAGAAGAAGUAAAUAGUUUUUUUAAAAAAGACUUAACUAGGACAGAUUUGAGGAGCCAAAGUGUAUUACUCAGAUCAAGUUCAAUCAGAUUCCCCNUGCUACCUUUCUCUCUCGAAAAAAAAAAGAAAAAAAAAAAAGAAAAAAAAAAAAAAAAAAAAAACUGAUUCUAAAACUGCCCACCAAUACAAAAAUCCAGUACACUCUUAUUAAGCUCCCCACAAGAAUAAAUUUUGAUGUAAUGGAAAAGGAACCAACAUAACAGAUGCUCUGAACAUCCAAAAUGAGAAUGGUUGCAGAAGAAUUACACCAUAAAUCCUAUCCAAAAUGAGAAUGGUUGCAAAAGAAUUACACCACAAAAUCCUAUCCUGGUUUAUCAUCUAUUCAACACCCAGAUCGAUAUGUGCAUUACAGUUAAUUGCUGUAUCCUCACAAUAUUGCUAUUUGUUGCCGAAUACCAAUGUACAGCAGUACACGGCAAUACAUGUAAAUAAACUCAGAAUACACAUAUUUAUAUGUAAAAUGCUCGUAAAAGAGAGCUCUAAGAAUCCAUUACCGAUUCAGAGGACGAAAAGGAAUAAUACAUAAAUGCUUAUUCUUUUGGAAACAAAAUUACAUACAUUAGGGAAUACAAUAUGGGUAAUAGUACAAAGCAGUAGGGGAAAAACGAAUACAUAUACAAACACCGUAAGAAUAAUGAAGAAUACUGUAAUAAUAUAAAGAUAAGAUGAGAAGUUAAAAAAUUAAAACGUAUUUUUCCUGCUUCUGAUAGAAUACAGUUUGACCAUCCAUACAUCCAACAAAUUUCUGUGGUACGAGGGGGGGAAAAGAAAUACUAUAGUUCACAUACAUAUAUACAGCAUUCAAUAAAUUAUAUUGCAUACCCUACUCUAAGCAUCACCAAUAUACAAGUCAAAACAUAUGAACAAAAGACAAUUGCUUAACUCAUUACAAAAUCAUACAUACAACAUGGUGGGGUGGAAUCUACUUAGUUAUCUCGUGAGGAUGCUCUUUGAGAGGGACUACGGGUUUCUCGGGAACGUUCCGUAAAAAGUUCGCUGACCAUCUUAUCCUGGAAAUUGAAGUCAUCCUCUUAAUGUAGUGUUUCAAAUCCUGAAGUAUAUAGCAAAAUUGAUGAUUAUAACAUCCGCUCAAACUCUAUACUAUGAAGAGCAUCAGCAGAUGAUGAAUGGUGCAACCAAUACAUCAAUGGGCAUUGUUUGGCAAGAGUGCCAGCUAUUUUAUUUGUUUACCAACAAAAAGAAAUAUAGAGAUGUCCAUCUGCCAGGGCACUCCACUGAAUUGAAGAAGCAUUGAAAACGAAAAAGAAAAAAAAUAAAAGAAGAGAAAGCGUAAUUAAACAAGACCUAACAGUUUUAUUUUUCGUAUCUUUGAGCUUUUCAGUUUCUACGUUUGUGCUUUGUUAAUUUCAGCGGUUUCAUUUUCAUAUAAGAUGGAACAUCCUUUCUACAAAUUCACCUGAAAUGUAGUUCAAAUCAAACUGGUUUUUUAUCAAAUCGUCCAAGUUUCUUGCAAUCACAAACCAAUCACCUCUAAGAAUUUCAAUAUUCGAAGGUGCAGUUGUUCUCACAGUAACAGUUGGCUGAUGAUGGUAUCUUUCUCCACUUAACAAUAUAAAGGCAUAAACUAAUUCAGACUUAAUAUGUCUUGACAUAACUUACAACACCAGUAUAUAUAAUAUAUACACAUAUAGGGCAAUAUUGCUCUCAGAGAGUGGUAUAGGGUUUCGGGAUUGUUGUUUUCUGUUUGAGGUUUAGGUAUAGGGUUUUAGGUUUCAACAAUUGAACCAAGAAAAACAAGUAUGAAGAGAAAAGGACUCACCGGAUAAUCGGGCAGCCAUUGAAAAACCAAGUUCAGAUGGUCCGCCACUAUACAGCUCAGCCAUCCAAAGAACUGUUUUGCCAUGCUUUCUGCUUACGAAUUAGUCACCCUGCAUGAUUGAGGAGAUAACCAGAGAAAUCAGGCAGCAAUGACAACUUCCUAGAACGUUGGAUCUACCGCAUCGGACUCAAAGAACCGAGCCACAGCAGAGUAGAGCUGCUCUUCUUCAAACGGCUUAGACACAUAGCCAUCCAUACCACAUCGCAAACAUUCAUCAUGUGUUGCCUGAAUUACAUCUGCUGUCAUAGCUAAUAUAGGUGUGUGCCAAUGGGUCACAUCCCCGUUAUCCAUAGAUACUUCUCUCUCAAUCAGUUCAUUUAUUUUUUUCUCACAAGAACGGAUUUGUCUCGUGGCCUCGAAGCUGCAAAUGAUGGUAGGAAAGACUAAGUAGAAUAUAAUAUGAAGUGAUUCUAGUAACAUAAAUAAUGAGCAUUGAGAAAAAGAAUGAAAAAAAUUUUGACAGAGAGUGGUGUACUCUACAAGUAAUUGGGCAAAUCUCUCAUUAUAGCUGUGUAGAAGUCAGGUCCAUCUUUUUCACAUAAUAGAAUGAAAACUGAAGUGACUCUCUUGAUAAUCACUAAAGAGUUACUAUAAUUGGUGAAAACAAUAAAAGAUAAAGGUUAAGAAAUUCAGAUACUUGAGAAUACAUCCUACUUGAACAGAAAUGAAGAAGUUCACUCUUCCAAUCCAUUAAAUGAAGAUAGAGGUUAAGAAAUUCAGAUACUUGAUAAUGCGUUCUAACUUUAAACAAAAAUAAAGAAGUCGACUCUUCCAAUCCACUAAAUGUUAUAAGUUGUGUAGAGAAUUUUUAAAGAAACCAAAGAUGCCAAAUAAACGUGAAAAAAACAAAUUGUCACAACAACAAUUAUUAACCUCUCAUCAUUCAUGCAAUGUAUGGGGACUUACUAACUAUAAGGUCAAUCAUGUGAAGCGCACUAUCUCUUCAAGUAAAACUAAUCUCCAUAACAGGAGCAAAAGGAAAAAAAAGAGUACCCAUCCAUCUCAGGCAUCUGAACAUCCAUAAAGCAAGCAUCAAACUUGUGACGAGGCUGUAGCAUCACAAUUGCCUCCUUUCCACUAGCUACACAGGUAACAAUAGCUCCAUAUUUCUUCAAAGCAGCAGCUGCAACUCUACGAUUAACUGCAUUAUCAUCUACUACUAAAAUCUGUUUCUCUUUCAAAAGGCUUUGAAGUGCCAGCGGCUGUCCUCUAACCUGCUGCCUUUUUAUCCCUACACCAAGCGCUUUUCGAAGGCAAACAGCCAUCAUACUAAGGCGAAGGGGCUUCCGUAUACAGUCAAUAUAUCCUGCUGACUUUAACUCAUCAAUCUCAGUUAGACUUAAAGAAGUAGCCAAUAGGAAGAGCUUUGGGGUGCUUUGUCUUGGCUUAAUUGUACUGCCAUUUCGUCGAAGGUCAGUAAGAUGACUGGGAAAUGCCAGACCGGAUCCUUCACCCCAAGCUUCCUUAUCAACAAGCACCAUGUCCAAUUUGCUCGUCCCGCUGAGAAAGUAGAAUACCAAAGUAAAUAAAGGCUAACAAAUAUUGUUAAGAACUCUUAUAUAUGUUGAUGAAUGUGGCUUAUAUCUAGUGCACCCUGCCGGGUUCUAAGAGUCAGCCUCAGUAGAAUUUAGGGCUCUUUUAUUAUAAAAUCAUGAUUAAUUGGAUAUUUUAGUAUACAUUAUUUUUGAAUAUCAUAAUCAAUGCUAAACGAAACAUACAUAAUCAAUGCUAAAUGAAACAUACCAUUACGUUCUCACAGCAACAUACUUAAAUGAAUCAACAUUUACAAAAAAAUACUCUCAAAGAAAAUUGGGGCGGUGAAUCAACAUUUACAGAAAAUAAAGCAGCAGUUAAAAAAAAAAAGCUAUGGCAUGCUUAAAAUAUAUCCUAAACUAGCAUCCAACUUUCAAACAGCUAACCAAGGAAAAAGAAAAAGACAAUUACCUUAAACUGGAUGCCUCGAAAAUGGCCGAAAGUGCAGCUUUUGGGUCAGUGGCAAUAUCUGCUUGUAUCCCUAAUCUCUGCAGAUGAUACUUCGAGAUCUCAGCACGUACUCUUCUCCCAUCAACAACCAGUGCUCUCAUUCCCCAGAAAUCUGAGAGAGUAGCAUCGAAAUGGUACCUCUUCAUAUCUCCUGAAUUCUUCUUUCCUUCUGUGAAAACAGCAGUGAAAAAGAAAGUACUUCCAACCCCAGGUUUACUAACAAAACCUAUUUCUCCACCCAUUAGGUCAACUAAGCAUUUGCUAAUGCUCAAUCCAAUACCAGUUCCACCAUAUGUACGGGAAGUAGAACUAUCAGCUUGCAUAAAAGGUGUGAAAAUACGGCUUUGAGCAUCUUCAGGUAUUCCAACACCAGUAUCUUCGACUGUUACUAAUAGGUUUACUGAAUCACUUGGUUCAGUUGUAGACUUGAACAUUCGGAAGUUUUCCAAGUUUCUCCGUCUAUCUACUACUUGAAACCCACUUAAUGUGUUAUAUGAUUUAUCUCUGCAAUUAGUACGUACUUCAGCAUUUUCAUGUGAUAUUGGGCUGGUAAUGUUAUUAGAGAUCUUCACUUCUCCAACCAGAUGCACCGAGACAAAGAUAUGUCCUUCUUCUGUGAACUGCAGAUGUAACCAAAUCAGCUACAGGGUUAUAAUCUAGGGGAGCCAAAAAUGAUUGGUAAGCAGUAAGAAAUAAAAGUUUCAAUUUCUAUUAUGCAAAUGUAUCACAAACUUUCAGAAAGAAUGUGCAAACUCAAGUGGAGAGGCAGACAUCAUACGGUAAUCAAGAAAACAUCAUUACAUGCAAAAGAUAUAAAGCUAAAAUUGAUAUACAUUAUGUAAAAAAUUGACAUAAUCUAAGCUUUGGAAUUGUAAAGGUUUGUUUAUUUUAAAUUUUUAAUACGAUCAAGACCAUGCAACAUAUUGUAUACCUGCAGAAAUCAUUAGACUGACACUUUUGACAAAUAAGCUCAAUAAAAUAGGGAGAUGCUUGAUAAAACUAAACAUGCAACAAACCUUCACAGAAUUUCCAAUGAGAUUUGUAAGGAUCUGCCUGAACCGCCCUGGGUCCCCAAUAAGAACUUCUGGAACUUGAUCAGAUACAUACACGGCCAACUACUCUCACCACAAAAAAAAAAAAAAGAAAAAAGAAUGAAAUACCACAAAUACAAUGACUAUUAGGGCCAACAACAGCUAAAUAGAACUAAAUAUGUUAUGAUUUAGGGCUUUACCUCUAUACCUUUGACCUGUGACUUGUCUGAAAAUAGAGAAAGCACAUUAUCCAGAACAUCACGGACGUCAAAAGGAACAGCCUCUAGCUCAAGCCUUCCUGAUUCUAUCUUAGCCUGAUCAAGGACCUCGUUUAUUAGAGUUAUUAGAGCCUUUCCACUUUGUUGAGCAGUCACUGCAAAAUCUUGCUGAGUUGCGUCGAGCUCCGUGUCGAGCAGCAUCUGCAACAUGCCUGAAUAGCAAGACCAUCAGUACCUUCUUCUUGUCAAUAUUCUCUAGCAAAAAUGUGGAAAAUCAACCUUAAAUAACAGGAAAAAAAAAUGCAUACUCAUUACAAGGAUUUUAAAAAUUCACAUACCUAAGACGCCGUUCAUUGGAGUUCUAAUUUCAUGGGAAACUGUUGCCAGAAACUACAUUGGACAAUAAAAUCUAAUUAGUUACAAAAACAACUGAGUUAGACAAUAAAAUGGAAAUAUAAUAGUUAGAAAAAUAGAGGAUAGAUGGCAACAACAGAAUUGUCAUACGUGUAGUUCAAGCAAGGAUUUAGGUGCCAUGACACGGGGUCGUGCCAACCAUUUGCAAAUACAGUGCAUGCCAUGUCCUGCAGAUGUCAUUGCCAAAAUACCAUGUGUGCUGAAACACUUUGGCAAGAAAUAUAUAUUUCUUUUCGCAUCAGUAUAUUUUAAUUGCUCUUAAUAUAUUUGUUUUAUUAAUCUAUUGUACUCUAUUAAACUAAUUACUCGAUAAUUUCGAAAAAAGAAGGUUUUCAGUCUUGCCAUCAGUAUGUGUGUUGUAUUAUGCUGAAACCUUGUUAGCACAGAGCGGCACAAUGGGCGCUUAAAUCCUUGAGUUCAAAGUUCCAGUAUUGUAGGGAAACAAAACAUAUAGACAUGACAUACUGGAAAAGAGGGAUAUAACUUGAUUCUAUGAGUAUUACAUAUAAAAUAUUUUAAUUUUGGUGGGGCGGGGUUUGGGGGGAACCUGUGACUUUGCUACAUCAGCAGCUUCAGCUCGCACUUUUAGUUCUCGCAUUUCACGGUAAUCAUCUUCCACCUUCUCGAUGCGAUUUAGAGCUGCAUAAAAUAUAUGCCCAACAAGCAAAACAAUCACAGCAACUCCAAUCGAUGUUGUAAUUGCUGUCCAUGGCAACGGAGGCUCAUUUUUAAAUCUGAAAUAAAAAAAAAACAACAGAAAAACAACAUCAAAGUAGGGAAAUAAAGCUCCCCAAGACAGCAAUUUUGGAGGUUAAUAUAGGCUGCAUGUGAGAUCAGCUACCUGCAAUGCAUUUCAUGUUUACGCAAUGGAUCCCCAAAAUCCACAUGGCUAAUAUGGAACCCACUUGACUUAGAGACAUCAGGGCCAUACAUUUUAAUAGGGGAAGACGAAUUAGUGGUGUCAUAUAAGUUAACAACAAUUGUUUGCUUGCUAGCAAGCUGCUGCAGAAGUUUAUCCACCAAAGAUGGGACAUCAAAUGAUGCACCAAGAUAUCUGCAGUAUAAAUAAAUCAGGAAAGAAAGGAAAAAACCUAAGGGUCUCUUUUGAAAACAAAAAGAAAAAUAUGCAUGUUGUAGCGUAGUCACAGAAAGUUACCCUACUGUAGCUUCAAUGCGUUCUUGGGGAAUAGCAUUUGGAGGAAGGUCAGAGUUGUAUACUGCAAAAGUCAGCACUACUCCAAGGUGAUUGGAUUUCAAAAGCUUAAAGGGAGAGGUAAGGACCCCCUUUCCGGUUGACCUAGCUCGUAAAAUGUUAUCAUGGUCUUCCUAAGUACAAAGUCAGAAAAGUUGUUAGAUUCUAAAUGCAAAAUUAAAAGAGGCAUAUAAUAUGCAUCGAACCAUUAAAUUACUAGGGAAUCCUCAAUUCUUGCCACUUCAUAUUUUCAUGUCGCACCAAGUGCAGAAAUAUUUAGAUUCCAGGUCAUCACUUUUUGGAAAUUUAAAGAAUCCUGUGAACCGAACAAACCCCUAAAGAAUGUCUUAUUUCUAUAGAAGGUGUGGAUAACAACCCAAUCCUAAUGAUAUUUAAUACAAAGAAGCAUACGGUGAAAGGUUCAAAAAUAGUACAUGCAUGCUAUUUAAAUCUCACCAUCAAAUUGCAGAAAUACAGUUUUCUGGGAUAAUACAACAGGCAUAUAAUCAUAUAAGAAAUAAGAAUGGCUUGAUAUAUGAACUCACCUUGCCAGACAUCAUAUCUAUGGACACGAUGUGAGAUACAGUUUCUUGGGAGAAUAUAACUGGUGCAUAUUCAUCUUGGAUGGGUGAGGGGUUGAGCUUUUCGGGAUUAUAAUCAUCUUGAACAGGGGAAUGAUCCUCGGUCUCCAUUUUCUUUAUUUUCCAUCCGUGCUGCUGCUCAAACAGCUCUCGCUGCGAGUGCAAUACCUUUAAUGCAUAGGCAACACCACUUGUUAACGGCCUUUCAAAUGCUGUCCUUGCCGUGUAUUCCGCAAAGGUUUUCUGCCAGAACAGUUAUAAUAAGAUCAUGCUAUCUGGCUAGUAAGUAAGACCUACUCCUUACUCAGGUCAAAUUUUUCUUGAACUCAAAUUUUUGAUAUUUUAUAAAAUGAUCGAUAAAUUUUAAAUGACAAAUCAGAAUUUGUUAGAUCCCAAGUGUCUAAGAGCUUUAUUUAAGAUAUGAAAAUAUUUGCCAUAACUUAACAAACUUACGAGGAAAUAGUAUGCUGAUAUAAUAAUAUUUCAACCACUAUCAGAAUUUUUAUGAUUAUAUUUAUCUGAUUUCACCCUGCUAUUUUCUGGUUUGGGUAACUUAUGUCUAACAGAAUAAAAGAGUAAUAAAUAUACAGAAAAGAGAUAGAUCUUCCAGACAUGAGUUAAUUGGAGCAAACAUUAUCUCAUAAAUCCCAUAUCACGAUAAACUGAGGGCACCAAAUACAUAGCCAAACUUAAGAAACCAAGGCAUGUGAGGGCUAUCUUCAAUCGACAAGCUAUAUUGAUAUAUCAACAAGACAAAAAAUGCAUAGAUAGAGUACUUUACCUGAUCGAUGGCAGAAGGAUUCUUCCCAUGGUGAAAAGUUGAGAUCAGGAUGGCCAUAGCAUGCACAUGGUUCAUGCUCACAUUAAACUGAUCCUGAAGCAUCCGAGCUCUCUCGUCGCACAUGUUCGCAAGAGUUUCCGUUCUCCUCUCAAUAAUAUUCGCAUUCAUGCUCACAAAUAUCCAUACUGACACCAAGACCCCAAGAAAAACACCCAUAUAAAGGAUUUUUUUCAUCCACUUUCCACCACUCUUCGAGUUCUGCAAUUGCAGAUGCUUCUGCUGAUGAUUUUGUUUAUAUGAGGACUUCGAUAACUCGCCAAGUCCAAAAAGCACAAGUAGCCCCAGUAGAAUCCACCAUAGUAUUUUUGACAGAAGCUUCUGAUGCUCUUUCGCUGUGUUUAUUAACUUCUUAGCCUGCAAGAUAUUUACAUAAUCCUACAUAAAAAUGAUGAAUGGUACUUUAUAGCCAGGAAACCAGAAUUCAUCAUCCCAACAUCUUUUCUGUUUCUGCUAUAAUUCCACAGAAAUGUGAAUGAGCCACUGCUCUAUUUAUGCAGAUAGAAAACACUAAGUCUAACAUUUGUUUGAUAAUGAGACUAGCAUAUCAUGAUUCUAAACAUAUUUCUGACACCAUAUAUAACAGUAAUCAUCACAAUUAAGUCAAUAAAAGUUGUACGUCCUUCACAUUUGUAACACUAACAUGAAUACACAAACAACCCACUUGCUCCGUGAUUAGAAUGAUCACCAGUAGCGCCUUCUCUGAGAAUAGAAUAUGCAUCAAUUACAAUUAAGCGAUAUGCUUAGGGGUGGUUAAAUGAUAAUGAAGGAAGAAUCAAUCACAGCAAGUCUCAACUGGGAAUCUAUUUGACCAUUUGAUGAAUUAAUUCAUCUACUAUAAUAUCAUCCACUUUCGGUUCCUGCAAAUAAAACGAAACCUCCAAGGUGUCUCUAGCUGUUGAAAAAAAAUCCAAGUAAAGGAGAAUGAUGAAGCCAUGAAGGUGAUUGCACUAAGGAGUCCUCCCAAGAGCCUUAUCAAAGUUGAUUCACUUUGAUCUGAAAAGGCUUCAGUGUUGAUGAGCAUAGUCAGUUCUGCUACCGAGAGGAAUUGGUUGAAGUCAACAUCUAGUCUAACUUAUGUUAAAAGGAGGACCCUUUUGGCAUCAGGAAUUGGAUUAGAUAGAAUAAGAUAAGAUGGCAAUAUCAGGGGAGAUGGGGGUUUAGCAACUUGGAGAAGUUGAGGAUGACAACAAGAUUUUUUUUUUUAUACCAAUCACAACCUCUCGGGGAUUUGAUAAUCCCACCCUGGUAGGAUUAUUUGACUUGACCAAAUUCCUCUCUUUAGUCCUUAUGACCUACAGCUCCAAAAUUGCUGAAUUGCCCAACACCACUCUCUCUUCUUGUUCUAUCCAACCCAAUCCUAGGUGCCCGACGACCCCUAGGGUUUUGCAAAUGCACAUCGUAGUGCUCACAGGAGUUCCACAAUCUCGUUAGCGAACAAGAUCUUGAAGUUAAGGUGAUGGACCAGAUGAGGCAUCCACUGCCCCACCUAAGAAAGUUUUAUGCAAAUUAUUUGUAAGAGAUGAAAUGCAUAGAGAGUUAAAGUGCAGCAGAAAUCAAGACAAAUAGUAGUUAAAAAACCAUGAAAAAGAAUAAUAAGUGAACUCAGACAGUAAUUUUAGUAAUGAUUGUGGCAUUGGCCUCAAAAGCUUCCCAUCUAAGACACAGUAAUCAUGUUAAGUCACCAAAUGCUGAAGCAUAACAGCAUACUGAUGAAAAUAUCCUUUUGACAAUUUGAACAUGUUCGGAAGGAGAAAAAUGCACUGACCUUUAGUAGUGUUAUAUCAUUUUGUACAGGAGAAGAAACAAAAUUUUGCUGAGAGGUAUCUAUCAUGUAUUCAUUCUUUGGUAGUGAAGGCACAGGAUUAACCAAAAUGUGCUCGUUUUGAACAGCGCAAUGACCUACACGAACUAUUUCAUCCCUCACACAAUCUUGUUGACCUCGUCGCCGCUUUCCCUCAAAGCAAAUUGCUUCUCGAAUACAAGAGAGGCUACCACCUUCUGCUCUGUAGGUGUCAUGUGAAGCCCGAGACUUCUCCAUGCAUUGAGCAAAUGUUCUCUGCAUUUUAGAAGGAAAUACUGGAGUUUGAACCAGCUAAAAGGAAACUAAAUCUGUUUAGAAAUAUGUAAAUUCUACAAAAACCAUCAUGCCUAAUUACAUCUUAUAUUUAAAAGGAGAAAUUGUAAGCUAGUAAAUAUUACAUCUCUCAAGCCAAUUUAUAAUGCAAAAUUGGGAGGCCAUUAUCAAUGAAGAAUGUCAAUGAAGUUCAAAAACGUGAUGCCCCAGAGAGAAAUAUCAGACAUUUUCAACAGAUAUAUUCCAGUUAAGAAUGUGCAAAAUAAGUUCCAAUCAAUCCAUAUGAUUGACUAAUGACCAAAUAUAGCAUGAAAAAUAAGCUGGACGGAUUUAAACACUUAAAAAUUUAGAAAGCAAGGCAUCGAACCUAGCUACAGGACUACCUAAAUCUCCAUAUCAUUGUAUGAAAAUGGACAGAUCAUUACUGACAUCACCUACAAGAUCCUCCUAGGCCACUGGAUUGUUGAUGGACUGCAAAUUGAGGGAAGGGAAGAGCAUUGAGAGCCACUGAAAGGUUAGGAGUUAAAAAGAAAUCACUAGUUUAAGGCUUCAAAAUUUGAGCGGUUGGAAGAGGCGAUCAACUGGUUAGGUACGAUCAAGUUUUGUUUCUCCGUGAUGCAUGAACUUGGCUCACAUAGUUAUGUAAGUUUCAUGAAAGUUGAACAAGGACAGGACUCCACAAAGUAUGGUGACAUCUGGCCCAAUAGGGCAAAGACAAGUUUAAAAUUCCAUUGUAACAAGGAUAGACUUACGUUUAUCGUUACUUUUUUCCAACUUUUGAUGUAUUCAUCAAACUUCAAAGUUCAUACCUAAUUCUAAACAUAAAAAUGAAAGAAAAAUUUUAUUCCAAAUCUGAUUUGACUCGACCACUAAUUAAAAUAUACCUAGCCUUCUAUUACUUGUAUCACUUAUGUGCCCAUGAUGAUAUCUAUUUUCAAGUAUCAUGAUCUCCUACAGUCUUGUCGACACAUCAGGUGGUACAGUGAGUCAAUACAUAAACUUACUUCAUUUCUCUAAGUACCACCCUGUACAUGGACCAACCAGACCAGGGGAUCAUAUAAACUAUGAACCUCACCAUCAUUUUACACCACAUUGUAAUUGUGUAUGAAGAAUUCUUCAGUUAGUUUAAAGCUAUUCCAAUUAAGACUACUGUAGAGAACUAGCUCUUACAAGUCUAGAAAGACUCUAUACUAGCAAAGCUAGAAGAAAACAUCUACUGAUAAUCCAAAAUGCAUUUCAACGUUGAAAAUGACGGGAAAAAACACGGCAUGAAAAGGGUGCAUACCCAGUUAUUCCAUUCAUUCCAUCAUGUUUUUUCAACCAACUAACAUGUUUUGUAGAAAAGGGUUAAAAAAAUGGUCCUAAUUCAACGAUUUGACGGUUAGCCAAGAGUCUUCUGACUUGAUGCAUAGCGUAUCAUGUUAUUAGUAAUUUGGUCUUAAGUUGUCCACAUUUCACACACUUAUUAGUAUCUAUUUUAUAACAAGCUUAAUAACAAAUUUUAAGUUUUAAGUUUUUUUUAUUACAUUACUCAACUUCUAAGUUUAAGCAUUUGAACAAAUUCUUGUGACCCCCAGAAUAUAACUAGCGGACUCACUUGUCGAACCGAUGACUCAGAAAAACCAUCUUUUCGCCAAUUCAAUUUUCGGUUCAGUUCUUGAUACUACAAAUUUAUGCGUGUCAAGAAAGAAAAAGAAAAACUCUCCAGCUCCACUGAGAACCCUCGAACCCCGACAAUCUAAGACAAUUACCUCAUCAAAACCUGACAUAGACCCACAUGAUCUUCCACAUAACCAAAAAAGGAUGAUAGCUCAAAUCAUAUUAGUUGAAAAAGGAGAAAAUUACCAUGUACAUAAACAAACUAUGUCAUACAAAAUCAAGAAGGACAAAUAUGGUACUUUUGUAACUAGCUAACAAUAGAACACACCAGAAGAAUCUCAAUACCUCCGAGGAUGAUAACAGCAAGACCAAGGCCUGGAGCUGGUUCUUGCUCAGGUUGGACUGCUCUACCAGCACCUGAGCUCUCUCUUCCCACAAAUCCCUCCCCCUACAUCCAUAACUCCCCAAACCCCAGAAAACCCCUAUUGACCCAACAAAACCACUCAAAACACACAAAACCAGGAACCUAGCCUUCAACCUCCUGCAGCCCUCACAUUCACCACCAUUAGAGGAUCCCAAGCCCCUAUUUUGACCACCCAUUCCAGAUGAAAACAAGAUGAUGGCCAAAGAACCACAAGAGUGGCUCAGCAGCUGCAGGAAGAGAUCUUGAGAGAAGAAACCCAGCUAGCCUUUCCCCCCCAGUCUGGAUUCAAAACUGUGCCCACCAACCCUUCAAAAGAUAACCAAAAACCCCUUCCAUUCCCCCCCUCUUUUCACUGCCACCAGCCCAAGAACCAAUCAACACCACACCUUUUGGAGAAGCCACUUGAGGAGAAAGCAGAGAGUGCAGCAGGCAUCUCAUCAGAAAGAAGGGGGGGAGGGCUGCAGCAGACCCUCCUCCUCCUCCACCUCCACCUCCUCCUCCUCCCUAUUCUUCAACCUUUUGUGUGAGCCCUUUCUUUGCUGACCCUUUUGAUCUCUUUCCUCUUCCUUAUCUUCAUUGCCCCCUAUAGAAGGUUAGGUUUAUGCAAUUUUUUUUUUAAAAAAAAAAAACCCUCCCAACCAUCACAGAUAACUCCAAUCUUGGAGAGAGAGAGAGAGAGAGAGAGAGAGAAAAAGAAGAAAAACAAAAUAAACAAAUGAAAAAGGAACCCAAGAGAGACCCAGCUGGUCUUUUGCUCAAUCUGGGCUGGAAUCCCUGAUCAAUGAGGAAAGCAAAAAAGAAAACUCUCUAUAUAUGUAAGUAUAAUAAUAAUGUAGGCAUUAUAAUAAUACUAUAUGCAAGGCCAAAUAAAGCGCAACUAAUCUCUCUCUUAUCUCUUUUUAUCUCCUCUUGUUCUCAUCUCUUAUUGGGUGUUUAGCCACAUCAUUAUCUCAUCAUCUGGUAGGGACAUGUUUUGAGGGACACCACUGAUAAAAGAAAGAAAGCUUAAAAUGAAUAAAUAAAAGCAAGGGAGGUCUUGACAAGAACAACACAAUUUCCAGCCCUCUCUUCUUUCCUUCUUUCUUUCUUUCUUUCUAAAAGAGAGAAGUGAGAACAGGAUAAAUAGACUGCUGCAAAGAAGAGAAACUAGAUAUAAAUAAAGGGGAUAGAAAUUAAGAUGCCACAUUUUUUUUUUUUUUUACAAAUUUUUUUUUGCCAAUAACAACUUUUUUUUUUUUGUUGGGUUUUAUAUACACAGGUGGUUUUUUGCUUUGCGGGGAUGAAAGCGACACCACAACUUGUGCCACACUGAGAGAGAUGUGGGUUGUUUAAUAAUUGAAAUUAUAGUGUUUAGGCUUAAUGUGAGCAGAGGGGUUAGUAGAGAGAGAGAGAGAGAGAGAGAGAGAGAGAGGAGACAACAGGUUUUUUUUUUAUAUUUAGCUCCCUCAAAAAAAAAAUUUAUUAAUAAUUUUUAUAAAUUUAUAUUUUUAUAUAUAUGGUUUUUUUUUUACCAUGCGAGUAUCUUAUUGAUAUUUUUAAUUUGAACGCGAUAACUGAAUCACUAUAUUUAUAUCCAUAUUCUAAACCCUCCUUUUUAACCUAGAGGUGAUAAAAAAUGUAAAAAUAAAUAUGAUAAUUCAAUCACCGUAUUUAAUUAAAUUUAAAAAUAUCAUCUAAAUGCUAGUGUGGUAAAAAAAAAUUAUUUAUAAGAUCAUUUGUGAAAAAAAAAAAAAAAAAUUAAGAAAGAUAAAUACAAAAUAAAAGCCCACGGACAACACAGUCCUCUCUCUGUCUCUCUCUAUGGUUUACUAUACGGAGGACAGCAGGAGAGCAGCAGCAGAUGCAAUAAAGAUAAAAAUGUGUGGAGAAGCCCCUCACCUACGUGCAGUUUGAAAUGGGCCCUCCAACUCUUUUCUUUAAUUUUUUUUGUUUGGUUUUUUCUAAGAAAUGCCUUUGGUUACUGAUAAUUUUGUCUUUGUAUUACGUGGACACUUUUAUUUUUUUUUGUAUAUGUGGACCAACCAACGGCCACCACUGCAGAAACCCCAAAAAUAUUGGAAGACGGCAUGUGGGGACAUGUGUACCCAAACACCCCAACUAGGGGUGUAAACGAGCCGCACACGGUGUGAGCUCGGUCGGCUCGUGUUCGACACAAGUUGGCUCGUUAAAGUAUCGAGCCGAAAAAUUCAGCUCGUGUUCGGCCCGUUUAUUAACGAGCCGAACACGAGCCGUCAAUGAGCUGGUCAACAAACAAUAAAAUAAAAAAAUAUUAAAUAAUAUAAAAAAUAAAUUUAUAAAAUCUUACCCAUUAGACUUUGAUCUAAUAGUUGAAACUUUAUAUAUAAAUGAGUUUUUUUAUAAUUAAGCUCGCAUUUAUAUUUUUAUUUUGCUAAAAUUAAAAUAAUAAAUAUAUAAUUAUAUAUAAGUAUUUAUAUAUAUAAAAAUAUAAUUAAAUAAUUAUAUAAAUAUAAAAUAUAUGUAUUCGAGUAUUAUCGAGCCGAACACGAGCAAGCUGGCCCUAGCUCUGUGUUGGCUCGUGUUAUUAAACGAACUGAAAAAUCAGGCUCGUGUUCGGCGUUUAUAAACGAGCAUCGAUCUCGAGCUCAUUUCGAGCCGAACACGAACUGGCUCACAAACAGCAAGCUGGAUUGCCACCCCUACCCCCAACACAGCCGGCUUGUGUUCUUUUGUUUAUUAAUAACCUAACUGAACACUAGCUGACUGGUUGAAAUAUGGACCGUUUAGUUGCAUGUAGUUGUAACUGUACUAUAAUUAUAAUUGUAUAUAAAUACAAAUUCGGUGUUUAAUUUGAUGUAUUUAACUCCAACUGCUACAGAACUGCAGGCGGAGGCAGAACUGCAGCAGUUCGUACUACGCCCAAAUUGGCCGCAGUUUCAACUACAGCAGUUGAAGAGAGUGACUUUAAAUAAAAGAUAUGCUUACCUCUUCAAUUAUUUUUUAAAUAAAUUUUUUUUUAUAUUAGAGGUAAUCUUACCAUCAUAUAUAUAAAAUAAUAAAAUUUUAAAAAUUAUUUUUUAACUGUAUACAACCAAACAAAUUAUUUAUACUUGCAGCGCUUUCUACUAUAUCCAACCAAAAAGGAUGCAUGUAGUUGUAACUGCUGCAUUUUCAACUGCAUGCAUCUCUAACUAUACUGUAUUUAUAAUUAUAUCUAGCCAAACGGUCCGUAAGAUGAAAAAAUUCAUCUACCAACUUGUUUAUUAACGAGCCAAACACGAAUCAACUCCUAAACAAUAAUUUGGAUUUUCAGCUCUACUAUUGGAUAAAAAAUUGAGAAAAAAACUAAAAAAUUAGAAUCUUAAUAUAAUAAUUAAAAUUCAUAAAAUAUAGAUCUCUCUGUAUUUGUAUUGGCCCAAAAUUCAAAUAGUGCUCGGCUCGUUUAUAAAACUAGUGAUCGAUUUCGAGCUCAUAUUCGAGCUAUAUCAAGCUGAACACAAGUGAGCUGAUCUCAGCUAGCUCAUGUUCAACUCGGUAAGAUUUCGAACUAAAAGAUUUAGCUCGUGUUCAGCUCAUUUAUUUAAACGAGUGAUCGAUCGCGACCUCAUUUGCGCCAAAUAUAAGCUAGCUCGCGAACAACGAGCUCGUCUACCAGCCCUAGAAACAUGAAAUUGACUCUAGAAACAUGAAAUUGAGCAUUUCUUUCUAACUAGGAAUGUUGAGUAUGGAUAUUCGAAAUUUUAUUUGAACUUAAGUCCGAACAGGGCAUGUUUAUCCAACACUAAAUGAAUAUGCUUUUCAAUACGGAUAUGCAAAUGAAAAUCCGACAAAUUUGAAUUUGGGUAGGGAUUUUAUGUGCACCCUAUCUUGACCUAAACCCGAAUUGAUUUCACUCUAUAUUAUAUAUGCGAAUGUUUGGUGUUGUUAUAUUUUAAAAUUUUAAAUUUUAAUAUAGUUUGCUUUCUAAAAUAUGGUAAAGAGAAAUAAUUAUUUGGAAUUCGGGAUUCUAGGUUUGAUUUUCAGGUUUGAAUUAUUUAAAAUCCAUCCCGAAUCCCAUACAUUGACGCAUCUAUUUUUAACAUGUAAAUUACACCACUGGUCUCUAAAUUUUUCAGCCAAGUUUCCUUUUGGUUCUUAGACUUUGAGCUUCAACAUUUAAGGAUCUGAACUAUUGAAAAUAUUUUCUUUAGCCCUUAUCCUUAUUUAUUAUAUAAAAAACUUGUUGCUUGCUCCUCUGCAUCUCUAUAUUAAAAUAUUUAUUGUUUAAUAUAUUGAUACCCCGACUAAUUGGUUAAAAGCUAAGAAGGGGCUAAGACAAGGGGACCCUCUCUCCCUUUACCUCUUUUUACUUGUUGCAAACAGCCUGGCCAGGAUAACGGAGGCUGCGAGAGGAAAUAACCUUUUACGCGGCAUUGGACCAUCCGACGACUGCCAGACAGUACUCAUUCAAUACGCCGACGACACAAUAUUUUUCUGCGAGGCAAGGAAACGCUGUAUGCGGAACCUGCAAUUCGUUUGGAAAAUCUUUGCCUGGGCCUUUGGCCUUAAAAUCAACUUGGAUAAAUCAGAAUUCUACUACAUCGGGUCCAACUCGCGCAAAGCUGAGAGACUAGCAAACAUCACUGGCUGCAAAGGCGGAAAGCUACCCUUCCGCUAUCUAGGGAUGCCACUACACAACAAGCAACUUCGCAAGGAGGACUGGGCCUGGGUAAUUAAUCGCAUAGAGGCAAGAAUAGAAGGAUGGAAAGCCAAAUUACUCUCCCUUGGGGGACGGCUUACGCUCGUCAACUCGGUCCUCUCUAACACACCACUAUUCUUCUUUUCAAUCUUCAAAGCGCCACAGUGGGUACUACAUCGAAUUGAAGCCGUAAGACGAGCAUCCUUCUAGAAAGGGUUCUCCAAAAUCGCCAGGGGCGCCUGUCUUAUCAACUGAAAAGCCAUCUGCAAAAGCAAGAGAGAGGACGGAUUAGGCAUCAAGGAUAUGGAAUCCAUGAACACGGCCUUCUUGACUAAAUAGUGGUGGCGCUUUUUCAACGAGCCAAACUUGCACUGGUGCAAACUGAUUAGAUCUCUCUACUACGCCAGACGAAGGCCCCUACAUGAGAGUAGAGUUUACUCCCCUUACUCGCAGUGGUGGAAAGGAGUGGUACAAUGCCGCGGAAUUUUUAUGUGCGGCGUAACCUACGACCUAGGUGAUGGCCAGAAUAUCAGGAUGUGGUCCGAUAUCUGGAUCGGAGAAACCCCCCUUCGGAUCCUCUUCCCGGAUAUCUAUACGGCUAUCAUGAACAAGGAGGCCAGAAUAUCUCAGUGCUGAAACGCAAACGGAUGGAGAUGGCGAUUCAUCUGUCGUGGGUUCCCGACAAGCAAUUCUACUGAUCGACGCACACGACUAACGAUGCUUAAAGACUUGCUUCUACACCGCUCCCCUUGUGACGGACCAGACUCGUGUAAAUGGAGGUGGACAGCCAAUCAAAUAUUUUCCGUCAAAUCUCUCUACCAGUUUCUUACUUAUGCGGGACAGCGAACCCCGCUGAGCAAACAUAUUUGGUGUUUAAAAACUCCGCUUAAAAUCAGAGUCUUCAUUUGGCUAUUACUUCGGAAGAGACUUCUCACUGCUAACCGACUGCUCCAAAGAGGCAUACCUGUUGACCAACAAUGCGUUUUCUGCGCUGUAGGAACGGAGAGCUGCGAUCACCUCUUCUGUAACUGUGUAUACGUCUGAUACCUAUUUCUCAACGUGGAUGGACUGGAUAUACCAAGCGACGCCCCUGGUGAUGUUCAUACCCUUUGGACCGAAUUAGCUGCCUGCCCAGUCAAAUCGUCGUGAAUGCGAGGACUAACCCUUCUGGCUGCGAUCUAGUUGGUGGUAUGGAGGGAUAGAAACAACUCCGUUUUUCAGACUACUUCGCCUGAUGUGACCCGAUCACUGGAACGAGUUAACCUUCUUACGACCAAUUGGACCGUGCUGACCUGAAACCACACUAGAUUCACUCUUCUCCCUUCUCAUCUUUCUUUCUCCUUCUUCGCUCCUUUUGGCCUUUGCCUGUUAUUUUUGCAUUUUUCGAAGGCCCAAGCUGCUUCCAUCUCUAUACGCUCAGUUCAUUUUACUUAAUGAAUGAAGCAAGUAGUUUGCUACCUAUUUCUCAAAAAUAUAUAUAUAUUUAUUGUUCCUUAAUCAUUCAUCUCAAAUUUAGUCCAAUCAGUAGUUAUUAACUAAUUAAUAAUUAACAAAAUCCUAAGUUUCUACCAUGCUGGAAUGGCAUUUAGAUUAGUUAAACUUAACAAAAUCACAACUGAACGUAAUAAAUACCUAAUUAUUGGAUAAACACAAUAUAAAUUAAAAGAAUCAAAAGCUGAGAGGAGUCAAUGAAUCAAAAAUGGUUGAAGCAUCUAUUUCAAAAUAACCAUGAAUUUGAGGGGUUCCCUGUAUAUUUUAACUUGCAGAGUCACUAGAGCUACUCUGUUACACCUCACAUGCAGCUCAUGUGUGUAGCCACCUGCAUAAAUACAGGGCCCUAUUCUGAUCUGAUAAAGCCUUAAAAUGUGGCAGCUCUUUAUAUAUAUAUAUAUAUAUGUAGAGAGAGAGAGAAAGUUCGAUUACAGCGAUCGUGUGAGUAAGAUCGCUUUUAUACUCAUAAGUUAUUUUUGAUAAUAGAACUGCUGAAUCGACGAUUCAUACCCUUAAAAAUUAUUUAAGACAUUUAAAAUUUUUAAAAAUUAAAUUUUAUAAUUUUUUGACAUUAUUUAUUUUAUCAAAAUUGAUAGUUUUUAAUGACCGAUAUGAGAUACUUACCAGUUUAACGAUGUAAAAUAAUCAGACUCGAUUGAAUUUUUGAUAGAAAACUCUAUUCACGAUCUAGAUAAAGAUCAAUAACUCCGAUCUUAAAUUGAAGAAUCCGAUCAUCCAUUUUUAGAACGUCAUUCGAUUUUGACCAUUCAUUUUAUACCCGCUUAAUGGAUUUUAUUAUGAUUAUGAAAAGUUACGAAAUUUAUUUUUUAGAAGUUUCAAAUACUCUAAAUCAUAUUUAACAGAGUGGGUCGUCGAUUCAAAAGCUCUACCAUCAAAAAUAAUUUAUGAGUAUGAAAAACUCUAUAUUCAUAAGAGUACAGUGCCCAACUCUCUCUCUCUCUCUCUCUCUCUCUCUCUCUCUAUAUACUAUAUAUAAAAGCACGUAUUUCAAAUUUUGGUCUGUCGACAGACCCAUUUUCUGGCGGGAAAAAAAAUUAAUUCCCCUAUUCAUUACAUAAAAUAAAUAACAGAAUUAAACAAAACUUUUAACUCCUCUUUGUUUCUACAACAAAAAAAAAAUUUAUGCUUAUUCAAAUUUUUUGCCUACCGGAGAAUAUCNAUCUCAGUGCUGAAAUGCAAACGGAUGGAGAUGGCGAUUCAUCUGUCGUGGGUUCCCGACAAGCAAUUCUACUGAUCGACGCACACGACUAACGAUGCUUAAAGACUUGCUUCUACACCGCUCCCCUUGUGACGGACCAGACUCGUGUAAAUGGAGGUGGACAGCCAAUCAAAUAUUUUCCGUCAAAUCUCUCUACCAGUUUCUUACUUAUGCGGGACAGCGAACCCCGCUGAGCAGGCAUAUUUGGUGUUUAAAAACUCCGCUUAAAAUCAGAGUCUUCAUUUGGCUAUUACUUCGGAAGAGACUUCUCACUGCUAACCGACUGCUCCAAAGAGGCAUACCUGUUGACCAACAAUGCGUCUUCUGCGCUGUAGGAACGGAGAGCUGCGAUCACCUCUUCUGUAACUGUGUAUACGUCUGAUACCUAUUUCUCAACGUGGAUGGACUGGAUAUACCUAGCGACGCCCCUGGUGAUGUUCAUACCCUUUGGACCGAAUUAGCUGCCUGCCCAGUCGAAUCGUCGUGAAUGCGAGGACUAACCCUUCUGGCUGUGAUCUAGUGGGUGGUAUGGAGGGAUAGAAACAACUCCGUUUUUCAGACUACUUCGCUUGAUGUGACCCGAUCACUGGAACGAGUUAACCUUCUUACGACCAAUUGGACCGUGCUGACCUGAAACCACACUAGAUUCACUCUUCUCCCUUCUCAUCUUUCUUUCUCCUUCUUCGCUCCUUUUGGCCUUUGCGUUAUUUUUGCAUUUUUCGGAGGCCCAAGCUGCUUCCAUCUUUAUACGCUCAGUUCAGUUUACUUAAUGAAUGAAACAGGUAGUUUGCUACCUAUUUCUCAAAAAAAUAUAUAUAUUUAUUGUUCCUUAUAUAUUAAUCAUUCAUCUCAAAUUUAGUCCAAUCAGUAGUUAUUAACUAAUUAAUAAUUAACAAAAUCCUAAGUUUCUACCAUGCUGGAAUGGCAUUUAGAUUAGUUAAACUUAACAAAAUCACAACUGAAUGUAAUAAAUACCUAAUUAUUGGAUAAACACAAUAUAAAUUAAAAGAAUCAAAAGCUGAUAGGAGUCAAUGAAUCAAAAAUGGUUGAAGCAUCUAUUUCAAAAUAACCAUGAAUUUGAGGGGUUCCCUGUAUAUUUUAACUUGCAGAGUCACUAGAGCUACUCUGUUACACCUCACAUGCAGCUCAUGUAUGUAGCCACCUGCAUAAAUACAGAGCCCAUUCUAAUCUGAUAAAGCCUUAAAAUGUGGCAGCUCUUUAUAUAUAGAGAGAGAGAGAGAGAAAGUUCGAUUACAGCGAUCUUGUGAGUAAGAUCGCUUUUAUACUCAUAAGUCAUUUUUGAUAAUAGAACUUCUGAAUCAACAAUUCAUAUCCUUAAACAUUAUUUAAGACAUUUAAAAUUUCUAAAAAUUAAAUUUUAUAAUUUUUUGACAUCAUUUAUUUUAUCAAAAUUGAUAGUUUUUAAUGAUCGAUAUGAGAUACUUACCAGUUUAACGAUAUAAAAUAAUUAGACUCGAUUGAAUUUUUGAUAGAAAAUUCUAUUCACGAUCUAGAUAAAGAUCAAUAACUCCGAUCUUAAAUUGAAGAAUCCGAUCAUCCAUUUCUAGAACGUCAUUCGAUUUUGACCAUUCAUUUUAUACUCGCUUAAUGGACUUUAUUAUGAUUUUGAAAAGUUACGAAAUUUAAUUUUUAAAAGUUUUAAAUACUCUAAAUCAUAUUUAACAGAGUGGGUCGUCGAUUCAGAAGCUCUACCAUCGAAAAUAACUUAUGAGUAUGAAAAACUCUAUACUUAUAAGAGUACAGUGCCCAACUCUCUCUCUCUCUCUCUCUCUCUCUCUCUCUCUCUCUCUCUCUAUCUAUACUAUAUAUAAAAGCACGUAUUUCAAAUUUCGGUAUGUCGACAGACCCAUUUUUUUGGCGGGAAAAAAAAUUAAUUUCCCUAUUCAUUACCUAAAAUAAAUAACAGAAUUAAACAAAACUUUUAAUUCGUCUUUGUUUCUACAACAGAAAAAAAUUUAUGUUUAUCCAAAUUUUUUGCCUACCGGAGAAUAUCUCCUUAUCUCUAUCUAUAAUAUAUAUAUAUAUAUAUAUAUAUAUAUAUAUAUAUAUAUAUAUAUAUAUAUAUAUAUAUAUAUAUAUAUAUAUAUAAAGAGAUACUACUCAUUUUAACUCAGAGUCUAAUUAANAUAUUUAAUGUAUAUCUAUAUCUACACUAUAUAUAAAUUUAUCAGAAAAAUAUUUAAUGUAUAUCUAUAUUUAAUGUAUAUCUAUAUCUACACUAUAUAUAAAUUUUAUAAAAUAAAAAAAAACUAUAUAAUUAUUGUUGACAAAAUAUGGUAGGUAUUUUCUAAUAGUAUAUAAUAAAUAAAUUUACUUUUUUAAAAAUUAUAAAUUUUUUAAUAAAUAUGAUGUACAAUUUCAUAUUAAUUUAAAAUAAUUAUUAAAUAAUUAAUUGUUACAUGUAUUUGUACGUACAUUCAACUAGUAUAUAUAUAUAUCUAUCUUCAUUAACUGUGGAAAACACCAAUUUUUGUGCUCUUAAAUAAAGCUAGUUGACUCUGAGAUGGACUAAAAGAGAGGCUAAGCUUAGCUAACAAAUUUAUUGUGGAUCCAAAAAAAGAUUUAGGUAUGGGAUAUUUUUGACAUUAGAAGUGGAUCUCAUCUUAGCAUAAAAAAAUUAUUAUACAUGGGGUUAUUCCAAAUCGAUCAAAUGAGCAUGUGCCCAUUGUUGAUUCAUUUACAUGCAUGAUCAGCCCCAUGCAUGGAGUUUGUACACUGCAUCUUGUCAUUUAUCCGUCUGGCUAGUACGUUUCACAUAUACUUCAUGUACCCACCAUUCAAUAACGAUCAAACUCGCUCAUCUUAAUUUUUAGAUUAUAAAUAAAAAUAUCACUUAUUGAAUGAUGCUUAGGUGAAGCAGAUGACAAAAUAUUCAGGUUCGUAGGAUCCCAUGCACGGACUACACAGAUCAGUACGAAGCAAAUUUUUUUUCACAGAAUUUGCCUCCAUUGAGGUACCAUAUUAGGCGCGCAUCCCAUUUCAUAUGGUACUAUCAAUUCAAUAAUUCAACAUGAAAUUAAAUAAAAAAGGUGUCCUAGAUUUAUUAGGAAGUGCUUUCAGCAUACUUGGGGAAAGCGAAAAGUUGAAUUUAACCCGCUCGAAAGCAAUUGAUUUUUAUGCGAAAUCGACUGAAGAAUAAUUGUUUGGAUAAACAUCGACGAGAAGUAAAACUUCUUAACAUGAGGACCUAAGUUUCAAAGAGCAAUUGUCACUACAACAAAAACGGUCUAUAGCGAUACUUUUAAAUGUCGGUAUAAGUCAAAAAAAGUGCUGCUGGCUAAAUUACCGACACUUUUGAAAAGUGUUACUAUAUGUGGGGUCGCUAGAUAUAUAGUGACAGUUAAAAAGUGUCGCUAUAACUUAAAAAGAGUGCUGCUAAUUUACUAACACUUAUUUAAGCAUUUAGCAACCACCGAAACUCUAUCUCGUUGGCUGCGGUGGUAGAGAAGGACGAGAGGGAAGGGCUCUUCGUCUAAAAUUUUAGUGGAUUGAGUGAGGGGGAGAAGGGGAGAUGAUAAUCGAUUUUUCUAAUUUUUUUCUUUUUUAUUUGUAAUCGGACCGAAUGGGCUGGGUGGGAUGGGUUGAGUAGAGUAACCUUUAAUUUUUUGUUGGAUUAGGCUUUAUAUUUAUGUGUUAGUAGAUUUUUUAAAAAAUUUAGGUAUAAAUAUGACACUUACACAAAAGUGUUCCAAACAUGUGUCCCUAUAACCUAAUUCUGUUGUAGUGUGUUGAAGGCUUAGUUUACGAUGUGCUGAACCUUCGAAAUCGUGGGUUUUUCUGUCCGAAGGUGCUUUGGAGCAACCUGGCAAGCUGGCAAGCGCAAGAGCAAUUGAAGUAUAAGAUAAAAUGCAGACACAUACAUGCUAAUGUGGUGCACCAUGUGCAUUCAAUAAUUUCUCAAAACUUAGCAUCUAAAUAAGUCUUUGGUUUGUAGCUUUAAUUAAAUAAUAUAUGAUAACACUUGAGUAGGUGACCAACAUUAGGUUUAUUAGACACAUUGAUUAAUGCAAUCAAUUUGCGGCUUUGCUAAAAUUAACAGAAGCCAACCUAAUGAGAGUCAAGUCAAAACCCAACAAGAUUACACGUUUGUGGAAUUUAUUAAGCAUAUUAUGGUUGAACACCAAACCUUUAAUUAAAACUAUAUCACGUUGAACACAAUGGAGGAGGUGGAACCACCACUCAAUAGCAUGUAAUUAAUUAAUUAAUUAAACUACCAAAACAAAACCCCAUUUUGCUUUUUUUCUUUUUCUUUCCCCUUUUUUUUUUUUCUCUUCUCUUUAGAUUUGCCCUGAAUUCGAAGUUUUGGACCCUCCCUUCGAAAUCCUUUGGAGCAAAAUCAAACAUAAAAUUUUUGAACGUCUACAAUGGUAGCGAAGGGCUUGAGCAGAUACCAUUAUUCAGUAUUCCUGUAGAUUAGUUAUGAAAAUCAUUUGGUCUACUUUGGGAACUAGAAUUUUUGGAGAGAGGCUUUUUUUUUUUUUAAAUGCACUUUAAUUAGAUGAUAAAAAAAGAUUUAAUCCAUAUUUGCUUCCACUUCCAAUUCUCUUUAUAGUGUUUGUAUCCAAGGGAGUAACAUUUUCUUCUUUUGUUUUUUGGCUUUUUAUUGUAACAUUUUUUUUAAAAAAAAAAUCUUGAUCAUUUAAAAACAAACCAUAUACUUUUAAAUAUGGAACUUACAUGCAUAUUAAUCCAUUUCAAUCUAAUAAUCCAACAUUUAAAACUUUUGAUCACAUGGCUUAUUGUAAUAGAAACAUAGCUAAGUGAAUCACCUGAUAUACUCUAACUAAUCCCAAAAAAUAGCAUAACAAUAUUCUAAAGUUAAAAAGUUGCUAAAUAUCUCAAAUUAAAUGAAUUAAAAGACUAGAUAACAAAAUCAACUGCAACUUCAAACUAAAAUAGGUUGUAGUUCAAGCAAACUCAAUACAUGUUUAAUUAGUACCAUAAUAAAAUAGUUUAACUUAAUAAAAAAAGUCUACAAAUUAUAGUAAUCAUGUAUUGGUUCACCAAAUGGAGACUCAACAACAAUUGAUUAAAUGCUCUACUUUUUGUCAAGCUAUUGUCAAAAGUGAUGUUUUAUAAACUAUCAGGAUGACACAAAGACAACUAAAGUGUGAUGUAGAUAGAAAAGGAAAUAUUUAUUAAAACUAAGAAGGCAACAAAUAAGGAAGUGUGGACAAAUAGCUAGUAAUGGGUUUUUAUAGUAGUUCCAAUAUUCAUGACCUUUAAGAAUAUUAUACAAUGCAAAGAUAUUUAUUUGGCUAUUUUUUAUAAAAUAAAUUGUCAAUUUAGUUGGUAGUUUUUUUAAUAAAAUAGAUUAUCAAGCUGGUUUAUCCCUCCUAAUCACAAUUCACCCCUCUUUCUUGUUCUCUACUCUUUUGUGUCUACUUGUUUUAUUGCUUUUUUGCUUUUUUAAUUUUAUUUUUUUCAAAGCAUUGCUAUGAAUAUUCUUAUGUAAUUCAUGGGUAAAUUAUAAUUAAUGGUUCUAGGUUGAACAAGGCUAUAAUUUUUUUCCUUUUUCUUUUACACAUCACAAUUGAGGAGACACUUUAAGUGCUUGUCAACUCAAAUAAUCCCUUAAACUAAGUCCACUUUGACAACUAAUGCUUGUUAAUUUUUAUCUUGUUAGCUAAGCAUGCAUCAACAUAAGCAAUGAUGACAACAUAUAUUGUAGGUUUAUCUUAAUAAAGAUUUUUUUUAAUUUUUUUUUGGCCUACAUUUUACAAAGAAGAGAUUUAUUCCCACAAGAGAAAAGGAGUCCCAUAAUUUUUUGGAGUCCAAGAAUGAGGAUAACUAUGGUGGCUAGGGUCAGGAUAAGUACAACUAAGAAUGUUAAUAUCAUAGAAUAUCUCAAGCUAACGUGCCUAUCCAAUUGAUUUCCUUGAACAUGACUAGUAAUUGCAUAAUAAGGAAUGAAAGAAAAAUUGAAUUGUCAAAAAGCUUAGGCCUUUGUUUAAUUUGUGGCUUUUUUUUAUUCUUUUUAGGGUCCAUUUGGUUCAAAGAUAACAAGCAUUGGAAUAAAAUUCUUUUUAUUUUUGGAAUAGCUUCCUUUUCUGGAAUAAUCAUGAACAAAAAUAAAAUUGUGUUUAGUUUGUAAUGCUGAUGUUCUCAGAAAUAAUUUAAAUUAUAUUUGAUUAAUUUUAUAGAAUAUUAGAGGAUACUGGAUAAAAGUAAUGGUUGAAUUUGAUAUAAAAUAUGAUUUAAUAAAAAUAAUUUAUUAUAAUAUUUAAAUAUAGUUUAGUAUUGUAACAAGAGAUUUGAGAAAUUUUCUGUAUAUUAUUCAUCUAAAUCCAUUCUAAUAUUUAAAUAUAGUUUAGUAUUGUAACAAGAGAUUUGAGAAAUUUUCUGUAUAUUAUUCAUCUAAAUCCAUUCUCUUAUAUAGAGAGAGGAAAAGCUUUACAUGGAAGUACAGGAUUAUAUCCUGUUAUACAAAGAAAUAAAUAAUACUAUCCUAAUAAGAAAGUAACAUACAUAGUAAUAUAUAUAACAUAAAUGGUAACAUAUAUUAUAUAUAUAUGGUAUGUAAUAUAUAUGGUAACAAGUAUAAUAUUUAAGUAUAAAUAAUAUGUAUUAAUAUAGUACAAUUAAUAAUUUUAUAAUAAAAAUAUUUAUUACAAUAUAUAAUAUGUCAUGUCUAUAUAAUUUACUUUAAUUCAAUUUAUAAUAUUAAUAAAGCUUGGAAUUAAAUCUUAGAAUAACACCAUUACUCCAAAAGGGUAGAAUAGUGAAUUUUUUUAUUAAUAGUCUUAAAAAAUACUAUAAUUAUAAAAGUAGACCUUAAAAAAAAUAUUUAUAAAAUUAGGUUUAUAUGGUAAAUGAUUUACCGCUUUUUAAAUGCGGUAAAUCAUUAACCAGUUUCUUCAAAGGAUUAAAAUUAUUUUUUGUGUUUAAUACUAUACAUCUUUUAAAGUUUGGAUAUAGGAAAUAUAUAAAUUAGGUUAAAAGCGGUGAGUCGUUCACUACUUUUGAUAAAAGCGGUGAAUGGAUUCACUACCUAUUUUUACAAAUAAAAAAUUUAAAAUGCCUAUUUUUAUAUUUAAAAUAUUUUGCAGGCUUAGUAGCCCAAAAUCUUCCUAGAAUAGUUCUUAGGAAACAUGCAAUUAUUAGAUUUUUUUGGCAAUAAGAACGAAAAAAAAUGAUAUUAAUUUUUUUAUUUUGAGAGAAAGAUACUAUGCUAUCCGCUUUUUUAUUUUAAAAAAAAAAACUUAUUUGAAAAUAUGAAACAGCUAAGCUUCGAACUUAUGAACCUCGGAUACCAACCAUCGAGCCCUCUGUUAUGGUAUUAAUUUUUUCUUUCGCUUUUUUAGGUUUUUGAGAGAGAUAUAGUUUAGCAUUUUGCCGGAUUGCAUUGCAAGCUCCCCAAAUAGCCAAUGAUGACAAUAAUAAUAAAUUUUUUUUAAUAAAAUUAUAAAAAAAAACAAUAUAAAAAAAGUCAUAAUAAUGCCGAGUUUAUGAGUUGUUAAUGUACGUUGAUAUAUUUACAAUAUAAAAUGCUUUGGGUGGUUUGAAAUUAAGGACCGUUACCGCGAUGCAAAGCAUUUUACUUAUCAAAAAUAAUAUCCACGUUCAAGAACAUAGAAGUCAAAACAAUUAUUCCACGGCAUAAUCCAUAAAUAAACCUCCAAAGCCCCAAACAUGGGGAAUGCAUAUGCUUUUUCUUUAAAGCAUCCAAAAUUAAAUAUUCAUGUAUGAUAAAAAAAAAGUAGUUCAUUGAUUACGGUAUUGUAAUGAAUAAAGAAUUAAAUACUAGGCGUAUUGCUCGUGCAAUGCGUGGAGGCAAUUUAGUUUUAAUUGUAAAAAAAUAAUAAGUUUCGAACUUUGGGGUAAAAACAUACUUAACUUAUCUGAACUAUGGACUAUUUUGUAUUUGUUAUUCAACCUUUCAAAUUUUAAUUUUAUCUGAACUAUUGACUAUGGGUAUAAAAAAUAAAAACCCGACGAAUAUGGAUACAGGUAUGGACUUUGUAUUUACCCGACCCGAACCCGAAUAAAUUAUAUAACAUUUUGAUAUCUAAAGAUUGUUUUAGAUAUUUAAAGAAUGUAUUGUUAUCUUUAACUAUUUGAAUUUGUAUUUUUCUUAUUCAAAUAUUGAUAUUGUAUGGCAUGAAAGUUUUAAUAUUGUAUUUGAUUGUGUUUUCAAAAUUUUAUUUUGAAAAUUUUGAUUUUACUAUAAUAUAUUUUGAAAUAUGAUAAAGAGAAAUCAUUAUUUUGGGUACGGGUUUGGAUUCGGAUUUCAGGUUUUUGGUUGGGUUCGGAUAUGGGUAUGGAUUUUUGAAACCCGACGGGUUCGAGUUCGGCUUCGGAUUCGGGUUUUAAUUUGGUUUUUAGGUUCGGGUUCGGAUUUUUGAAAAUCCGACCCAAACACGACCCAUUGACAUUCCUAGUGUCACCAUUGGUAUUAGAGCCAAUUAUCAGCCGAAAGUGUGAGAUGAAUCUUGACUGAGCCAAAUUAUAUAGUGGGGAGAGCGAGACUCUAAUACUGAUGACUGUUGUUAAUGAAGUGCGGCUCACCACAAUGUCGGAUAAGCUAGCGAGAUGAAUCUAAUAUCGCCUGGUAUUUAUAAAUCUGAGUCUGACGAGAAUAUCAGAACUUAAAGGAAGAAGAAUGUGAGAUUCCAAGUAGAUAUAAUAAGACUAAAACUCUUAAUCUGGUUAUAGCAUUUUGGCGGCACCUAAAUCCAAAAGGUUAAAAAAGUUAAGCGUGCUAAGAUAGAAGUAGUCUUAAGAUGGAUGACCCCAAAGUAACCCAUAGUAUUUUGAUUGUAAAAUUUAAGCUACUUACUAAGUUUAAUAAAUUUAUAAUUGCAAGAAUUGCAAGAAGUAUACUAACUAAACCUGUAAAGAUAAACAACAUAUUCAAAUUUUUGACAUCAAAGCGUCGUUAACUAAUUCAAAUCAAACAAAAUGAAAGGUUAGCAAGAAUUUUUAAAUUUUGAAAGGUUGGAUAGCCAAUUCAAAAUAGUCUAUAGUUCAGGUAAAGUAUGUACAUUUUUACCUAAUUCCAUUAUGUGAGUUAUUGCAAGAAAGAAAGCUUAACCUAAAUAACUUCAUUAUGUUGAUUAAUCUUGAACAUUGAUUGAUAGAGGAGGUUAGAAAUAUGAUUGACAUAAAUUGAUUAGAAAGAGUUUCCUUGAACUCUUGUUGUCUGAGUAAUUUCUGAAAAUAGGUCUAUUUUAUAUGAAAAAUAGAUAUGUAAUAACAAAAUUAAGUCUUUAUUUAAAAUUUUGAAUAGCUAACCAAAUUCCAUAAAAAGAAAUUCCAGAUUUUUCAAUCACAAAAAUUGCAAACCACAAUAGCAACAAAUUGAGAGCAUAGAAACAACUUACAGGAGUCAAAAUAAAAGCAAAGUUCUAUUAAUAUUAGCUUGUUAGUAUUAUUUCUCACAUCAUUUCAUCCACUAACUUAAUGCCUAAGCUUAUGAUUUUAAUUGUGUUAACAGAAACAAACUUGCCGAAGAAAAAUUUAUUGCCAAAUUGAAAGACAUUACAAUGAGAGAUCGAGAGCCUCAAGCAUUUCGCCCAGAGUUCUCCGUUGGGAGUUGACCUUCUAAAAGACGCUAUGCCGGUCACUUUAGAUAGACCAAACUUUGAACCGUCAAGAAUGAUUGUGGGACAUCAGAUCGUCCUAUAUAUAAGAUAUAACUGUGCUAAAAUAACUCCGUUAUAAUAUAUUGGGCGGUGGCUAGAUCCAAGAAGUUAAGAAGGUUUAGUACGCUAUAAUUGUAGUAGUUCUAGGAUGAUGACCUUCCGAAAAGUGGGCCGGUCGGCUAAGAUUAGCGAAACGAGUCUCAUAUUGCCAGGUGGUUGUGAUUUUCUAAAUCUGGCUAUAGCAUGUUGGAUGGUGGUUAAGCACAAAAAAUUAAGAAAGUUAAGCAUGAUAGGACUAAAAUAGUCCUUGGAUUGAUAACACCUGGAAGUGGAACGUCACAAUGAUUCAAUUUAGUAAAAUUAUUAUGUCCUGAAGGACUGGAAUCUUGACUAAGAAUCUGGAAUACUACCAAACUCUUUGAACAAUCUGCUGAAGGAAAAAACUAAACAAAAAACUAAACCUCCUGAAAUUCUCGAUAUAUUCUCUAAAUGAAACUACCAAAAACUAAUAAAAUGCUGAACCUACUGAAUUUGUUCGUUACUAUCCUAUUUUUUCUCUAAAUCUCUCGAGCUCUUAAAUUUGUGAAUGAUUAGAAAAAGAAAAGUCGUAUCUUUCUCCGCCAAGAUAUUUAGUCUCUUUUAACCCAACUCCGAACCCACCGAAUUUUAGCCAAAUUCUAAAAUUUCCGAUCAUACUUAUUUCCUUUCCUGAUGAUGAACGGCCAAGAUUAUUUCAACUCGACGCCCAAAAUGCUUAUCUUCUAUGCCUCAAUACCAACCAAGAUUAACCUUACUUCCUCAAAAUCCGACGGCAGAACGACAGAAUUAUGAUGUCAACAAAUUGUAAUUAGGUGAAUUGCAAAGGUCAUGUAUUGUGAAAGCUAAUUAAUUAUGAGCCCUAAUCAGUAUAGGUGAGAUCCAAAAGGAGAAAAAGUACAAAAUCAAUCUGAUUUAAAAGCGGUACACUUUAUAUGAUGUUAAUGUAUUAACAUAAAUGACAUGAAAAAAAAAGUAUUAUAUUAUGACACAUUUAAGUUGUUACAUUAAUUUACCAAUAUAUUAACAAUCUGAAAGGAAUUUUUUAUGGGAACUAAAGCAUCUUUCUUUUUUUUUUAAAAGGGAAAGUGGGUGAGGUUGACCCAUUUGAUUGCACCUUUUCGGCUAAUUUAUGAUUUUUGAGAGUGCCAACCAAAAAACUAGGGAUUCACAAGAGAAAUUCGAAAAGAAAUAUCACUUUUGGCUCAUUUAGGCUCCUGAUAAUAUGGUUUUUCAAAAAAAGAAAAAAGAAAAAAUUGUAAACUCCUUAUUUAAAAUAUUAAAAGUAAGAAAAAAAAAGACUGUUUUAUUGCCAAUUAAAUUUUACAGAAAUACACAGAUUGCAAACUAUUCAUUAUCUGUGGGUUUCCCCGAUCUCCACAACGCAGGUUCACCCAUUAAUUCGAUCUAUUGCAUUAGAGUUUUCUAUUUGGUAUUGGAUGAAUUAAAUCUAAGUUCGGAGCUCAAAUAAACACUAACAAAUAAAAUUGUAAAGGCUCAUUCUAAAUCGUGUGUUGUUGUUGUAAUUGAUAUGUUUCAAAUUCUAUGUUAAGAUUGUUUAAUAACUUUCUAAUAGAAAGCUCAGAUCAAGAUUUCUCUUUUUAUUUUCAUUUGCUAGUUAGCCCUUCACCCAAGGCAAAAUUGAGAAAUCCGAAUUCUUGUGUAAGUGAUAGAAAUAUUAUUAGGAUCUUAUCUUAUUCGAAUUCUUACAAAACUUUCUCAUGUGAUAAUGUUAUAACAUGAUCCUUUUAAUAGCUAAAUCAAAAAUUGCUACACUAAUCAAAAUGAUCUGGCAUGAUCAGCACGUGUCAUCCGCAUCAACACAUAAAAUAGGGUGUGUAUCAAGAUAUAUCAGUGUGUCACAUUUUGAUAGCACCUUACUACGCUUUAUGUCAGUAGCACGGGAAUACACAAACUGAAUAAAUUAAUUGAUAAUAACCAAAUAUUACAACAAUAAAACAUUGAAUUUUUCGUUCAUUUUAUAAGUUUUUAUUUUUUGGAUGUGGUUGAACUAAAUGCAACGACAUAGACAUGGAGCCUUAGUAAAUUGUUAGUUUAGUGUCACACUUUGAUUACUUACUAAUUUAAUACUAAUCGCUAUCUACUAUUUAGACAAUUUGAAAAGAAUUAUUUAUUAUCUUAGGCUCAAAACCCCAAUCGCACUAGCAAAAGAAUCCGCAGUUUACAGCACAUGAGGGGCACUAUUAACACACGACCAUGAUACAGAGAUUGACAAUGAAGAGUGCAAAAGCACCGCUAAAUGUGCCUAAAAAAGUCUUCCAAAAUAUUAUCAAUAAACUAGUAUUAUAAAUGUGAGAGGCGAAAAUUUGGUUCACCCUCUCAAAUUUCAAAUAUGAUACUUAACAAGAGAGAUUAAGUCUAAGAAGCUGAAUCGAUUAGUUAUUAUUAUUUAUAUGUAUAAUACUGAUACCUUAAUAAGUGCUUGGUGCUUUUACAAGCACCGCAGCUAGACUCUAUAUAUAUAUAUAUAUGAGCAGGACUACUGUGCUAUUAGGAGCACAGCAACCUUUAUGCUCCUAACUUUCUAACCACCCAUCAAAUUUGAUGGGUGGUUAGAAUGAGAGGAAAAAGAGAUAUUGGAGAGACAUAUAUAUAUAUAUAUAUAUAUAUAAUGUAGAGCUACGUAUGCUAUCAGAAGUAUAGAGAAUUUGAUGGUUCCAAUUUUUUGACCUUUGGAUCAAAAAUUAUAUGGUUGGGAUGAUUGCUGUCCCCCUAGGAUUGAGUAGUACCUCUAGAAUUGAAUGGUCCCCACAGGAUAAUAAUAUUAAUCCAAAAGUUAGAAAUAAUUAAAAAAACUGAUCUAAAGACCAAAAAAUUGAAAGCACCAGAUCUUCUAUGCUUCCGAUAGUAUAAUAGCUUUACUCUUUCUCUCUCUCUCUUUCUAUAUAUAUAUAUAUAAUAUAGAGCAUUUCUCUUUUACAGAGUGCCAAGAAAUAUGGAAAUACAAAAAGUCAUUACAUAGAAAGGUGGAUAAUACAAAAGUGAUCCUACAUCUAAAAAAUGAUAUCCAGCUAAGCUUUGGAGUGGGAAUUAAUUAAUCGAAAUAAUACCAUUUUAGAGAUUAUCUAUAGGAUAUAUAGUCACCUAUCAUAAUGAUCAUCUUAUAGGGGAAAAGGGUAACCCUACAUAUAUAUAUAUAUAUAUACAUAUAUACAUGGAAAGGUUAACCUACAGUGUGACAUGCAAGGAAAAAGUUUUAUGUUAAAGCAAUUUGACCUAUACUAACACCACAUUGAUACUAUACUCCUAUGCAUAAAGCUUAAGCCAUAUGCUUCAACAAUUACAGUAACUGCAAAUUGGAUUUAACUAUGUAAGGAAUGAUGAUUCCUAGAAGAAGACUUGUAGGUAUUUAGCCCUAUGAUUUGAAGGAUGUUAUUAUUUAUAUAUUUAUGCAUAGUCUAAAUCCAGUGAAUUUGACUUAGUGAUAAUGAUCAGGUUAAAUGAACCUUUAUAUUAAAAAUAAAUAUGCGUAUGUAGUGGUAUGCUUCGUGAAAAUCAUACAAAAAGUUUAAAACUUUAGAUACGGACUUGAAUGAGGUAAUUAAUUGGUUUAAUGUAGUUGUGAACUUAUAUGUAAUUAGCUAUGCUGGCCCAAUGGUCCUAAAUUGUAAUUAAAUUCUAAUAAUACAAAUAAUUAUAAUCUUGGAAUUAAUAAUUAUGUUGAGUUUGUAUUUAAUGAACUCUCAAUUGAAAGAACUCAUGAGUGCAAAAGAGAAGUAACUCCCAUUUUAUAAAAGCUAGUUAUGCUUCUAAGGUCAAGGUGGACACUGUAUUUUGUUCGAAUGGUGUUUGAGAGAUUCAUUAAUUUAUGGGAAUAUUAAUCUUUCAUCUCAAAAUUAAUUUUAGGAUAAAUUUCAAAUACCACCAUGUAAUUUUGCACUUUCUCACUUUAGUACCAUAUGAUUUAAAGUGUAUUAAUUUAGUACUAUAUGAUUUUAUUUUUAUCUUUUCGUCAGUCUCUUCAUUAACUUUUCGUUAAAUCAUAUAUAAAAAACUUCCGAUACCCCACCCCACUUAUAAUUUAUCAAAUAUUUAUUUAGUACUUUUUAAUUUUAACUUUGUCACUGACUUAACGAAAACAAUUAGUGAAGAAAAUAAUCAAAAGAGAAAAAUAAAACAGGAUACGAAAUUGAUACAUUUUCACAAAAUACUAAAAUAAAAAAAUGCGAAACACAUGGAUUAUAUUUAAAAUUUUUUCCUUAAAUCUUAUGCUUACCAUCAGAUUGAACGAGAGUGCAACGUUGCUGCAUCUCUACGUGAAAUUUAUUAUUAUUAUUUUUUUCAAUCAUCCCCUUUGUUACUUCUUUUUUUUUUUUCCUUUUUUUUACAAAUUAAGUCGUUUUCAAAAUCAAAACCACUCUUACUUUUGUUACAACUUACAACUUAAGUUCAUAUGUUAUCGUUGCAAUUUACAACCACAUUUUAUGAAAUGAAAAUAAAUACAAUAAACCAAAGUUAAGAGAUCUACCCGCCGAAUAAGACAAACUCACAAAAGCCCAAAGAUGAAACAUAUUAAAUAGUCCUCUUCUCUUCUGAGUUCUGAUUAGGGGAGCAUUUUGUUCCAAACUCGACCAAAAGCCGGACCCCGAUCCAGUACUACUACACAGAUUACACAUCCUGUGUUUGGAUCAAAACACGACAGAAACACAAUCCAAAUUCGAUACUACAGAUCAAAAUCAGCUCCACAAUCAAAUUUUAGUAAUACUGACACGGAAGAUACUCGCAGAAAACCAGACUAGGAACUUCCAAGGACUGAUAUUCACAAAACCCCACAAGUCGUGGGGUAUCACAGGUCUCUUUCUUGUAGUCCUAACCCAUCAGGUAACACAGCAUGCGACGAAAAUGAUGUAAAGAGAGAAAAAAACCAAGUAUCUCAAUAUUCAGCAUUCGGCCAACAACCACCAACUACAAUCCAAACACCGCAAUUCCCCAUUUCUAUCAUCUAUCUUUGACUCCGUAGAUAAUAGGUUUUCUUUCAUGAGUCUUAAGUGUCCUAAUGAUAACAUUUAAAUACACAAAUCUAAGGAUCAAAAUUCAUUUUCAGUGCCGACUUUAUAAUUUCAACUGUCAUUUCAUUUAUCUAUCUAAAGAAACUACCUUACCCAGUGGGUGAAACUCCAUUAAAAAGAAAAAUUCUGUUGAACCUCCUAACGCAAAUGAAACAGUUAAGAGAAAGAAAAAGAGACUCAUUUCUGGCGACCGGCUUCCACAGGCUCGACCACUUCAGCUUCAAAUGCAUUCGCGUAUUGGGGUUCAACAGGUUGGCUUGGUUGCGGUUGGUAUACCUCAGCAGCUGCAGGAGCCCAUUUCCCGGAAAACGCAGUUCCCAUCAUCUCAUAUAUCUUACCACUGAGCUCCUUUGGAUUAUCAGGCUGCGUAGCAGUACAAGGACAUAAUUAGCUUAAACUGAAACAAUAUAUAAAAUAUGCGAAAGGUUGCAAACAAGGAUUUAAGUGCUGUGACACGGGGUCGUGCCGGAAACUUACCGGCACGGUACGGCACGGUGCGUGCCGAGCCGUGCCAGUCAAAAAAAUCUUGCGUGCCGACACAUAAUAGCAUAAAAAAUCUUGCGUGCCGACACAUAAUAGCAUGAAAUAUUUAUUUUCUUUAACAACAAAAUAUUCUAACUAUUUAUUAUGUCUUUUUAUUACAUCUUUUGAACUUUAUUGUGGAAAUUACUUACUAAUUUAAAAAAUAGAGGGUUUUGAGUUAUGCCAUCGGCACGGAGUCUAUAUCGUGCCGGUAUCUUGUUGGUACGGUACUGCACGGUGGAUACGGCCCGUGCCGACGGGCACUUAAAACCUUGGUUACAAAGUUGCACAAUUUCCCCAAUAUUAAACAACAUGCUUCCCAAUGCACGGACUCAUAAAUAUGAAAGUAGGUGUAUUUAAUUAUUUAUUGGCAGGUAAAUCCCAGUAAUCUAAAAAUACAGCAACACAUAGAGUAAGGGACCUAACCAAGCAUAAAAAUGGUUUAUGAAGUAAUAAAUACACCCACUGAUAUUACAAAAAAAAAAAAAGGGUUGAGAGAUGAACAUGAACUCACAGUGAAUCCACUGGAAAUCAAAGCAGUUUCGAAUAGAAGAUCUACAGCUCUUAAGGCCUCAGGAUCAUCAGGACAGGUCUUGGAUGCAACCUGCAACACCCAUAGAACAAUGUAAGUUUGAUUUAUUCUUCUGAUUUUAUCUGAUUGCAAGUAAUGGAAGCUUCAGUCAGCCACCUACAAACUAUCGACACGAAAGCUCCUCACUCUGGAAGUUUUACUGAUAUCUUUCCCAUGCAUUUCUUAUAUUCUAAUGCUUGGUAAAAUGUUUUGUAAGUUAAAGAAAUUAGUUAACAAGCAGUUUAGUGCAAGAGGCUCCAGCAACUUGGAAGUUCUUCUCAUCAAAAACAGAGAUAACUAUGACAUGAACUCAAUAACUAAUCUAAACUUCAACUAGGCUUACAAAAUAAUUUCAUCAGCAAAUAAGAAAAAGCUUACACUUAAGUUCUUGAUAAUUGGAUGUUCUGGAUUAAUUUCGAAGACUCUUCUCGACUUCAUGAACUCCAAACUAGAAGGAUCUCCCAUAGUUUGGGCCCUCAUCAGCCUGAAGAAAAGUGGCACAAGGAAAUGAAAUCAUAAAAUAGCAUACUUAAUACCCAGUAGACCAUGUGCACAUUUUGUCUUUUAUUCUUCCUCUCAAGUUAUAUGGGACUGAGUGCACCAGCAGAUGGAUUCUCCAUUCUUGUGAGUGUUGGAUAGCUUGCAUGUCAUACUUUAACAAGAAAAGGACUGAAAGAAGUUACAAACAACUUUUGUUUUUCCUGGCAAACAAAUACUGGAGAUACGGACUUCAAAAAUCCACCAUCCUCAGGUGCCUUCUAUCGCAUAGAAUUUGAGCAAGAAAACUAAUAAAACAAAAGGUGUAAGCACGGUCAAAUGAGGCCUUAGCUUGGUAUGACAGACCAACCUCUCCAUAUUGGCGGACCAGCCAAACUUGCCAGUAACAAGAACACAUGGCGAGGUGCUAAGUCGGUUUGAAAUAUCAACACGAGCAACUUUCUCUCCCAGUCUCUUCUUGAUCCACUCGCAUGUCUGACUGAAUUCCUGCUUGACUUCCUUCUCCUUUUCCUCAUUUUUAUCACCUAAAAUCCAUUGAAACACAUCAUAAAUAAGAAAAGUAUGACAAUCACACCUAUCAUGUUUGUCCUAAGAUUACUGAACUAAGGAUCACAAUGGAAUUGAAACAUUUAGGAGGUGUUUGGAUUGGGUACAAGAGGGGGGAUAAGAGGGUUAUCCCCCCCUCUUGUACCCAAACACCUUUGGAGGGGGUGGGAACAACUUGUUCCCACCAAGGGGCCCCCCGGGAGAGAGAGAGAGAGAGAGAGAGAGAUUUUUGUUUUAAAUUAAAAUUUAUAAUUUAUAAUCUCAAAAUUAAAAUUUAUAAUUUAAAAUUAUAAAAUUUAAAGUUUAAAUUUUAAAUUUGAUAUUUUUAAUUUUUAAGUUUUAUAUUUGAUAUUUUUAAUUUUUAAAUUUUAUAUUCGAUGUUUUAUAUCUUUCAAAUUUAAAUUUGGUCUUAAAUUUAAAAUUUGAUAUUUAAAAUUAAAAUUUUUAAAAUUAAAAUUUUAAAAUUUAAUUUCAAAUUUUAAAUUUUAAAAGUUAUAAUUUUAUAUUUAAAAUUUAAAAAUUUAAAUUCAAAAAUUAAAAACUUAAAUUCAAGUAUAAUGAGAGGGGUAAUAUCAUUAUUUUCUAUUUAUAACCAUCAACUAUUUCUCUUAUUCCCAAUAACCAUCCAAACACAAUUUUUCUAGUUCCAGCUUAUUCUCACAUUUUCAUCCAAACAAAAAAAUACCCUUAUCUUACAAAAACCCAUACUUGUACCUAUGCCCGGUAUAACUUGUUCUUGCUUAUACCCAAACCAAACGAAGCGAAGCAAUUUAUCUUGAAUUUGAUAAGCAGGUAUUAUUUAUUUUACCAAUAAAACUAGAAUUGGUUUAACAGAUUCUACCGACAAGCAUCUAAAGGCGCUUGAAAUAUAUGUAGCACUAGGCAGAGAAUUUUUACAAGCAUCUAAAAACACUUGGAAGUAGCUAAUAGAGAAUUCAUAACUAACCCAGGUCCAAAUCUUCCUUGCUAAUAUCAACAAAGUUCUUUUCCUUGUAGGACUUCAGAUUUUGUAUAGCUACCUCAUCCAUGGGAUCAACUAAAAAUAGCACCUGCAGUGAAUAGAAAGCUAGUUUCUUUUUUCCCCAGAAAAAUUAUAGGUGGAAAUGACUGACUAUAUCAUUGCAAAAUAUACCUCAAAAUCCUUCUCGACAAGCCUCUCCAGAAAUGGAGCAUUCUGUGCGCUAGUCAAGCUAUCUGCAGCAAUAUAAUAGAUAUCCUUUUGCUCGGGCUUCAUAUUCUCGACAUAUUCAUCCAAGCUAAUUAACUGUUCUUCGCUUUGAGAAGAGAAGAACCGAAGAAGAGGUGCAAUUCGCUUGUGGUUUGCCUGGUCUUCCAUGCAACCCAGUUUAAGAAAUUUGCCAUAAUUCUCCCAGAACUUGUCAUAAUCCUGAUGGAAAUCAAAAGUAAAAACAAUUAGAAAUAUGAUAGAAAAAUCACAAAGCUUGAGGGAAUCGAGAAUUAGAACCAGCAACAGAAUAUUGUAGUUGAGAAAGGAGCAGCUUACAUCUUUGUUCUCACUCAGAGAAAUGCCUAAAAUCAUAUCAAAGGCCUUUCGGACCAAUCGUUUCCUCAUUAUGCGCACCUAUGUUGCAAUAUUCAUUAGUAACUUAAAUAAGAUUAAUUCAUCAAUUGUAUCUUGUCCUGCACUGAAAAAUCCAAGGUGUUCUUACAAUUCGGCUUUCUUGAAGGAUCUCCCGAGAGACAUUCAAAGGAAGGUCAUUCGAAUCAACAACACCUUUCACAAAGCUCAAGUAUCUUGGGAACUAAACCAAAAUAAAGCACAAAUCAUCAAAAUUACAAGGAAUUUAUUUACCAAAAAGGAAGCAAAAAAAGAUUGUCAGGAGGCGAUGAAAUCCUAACAUACCAGCUCCCCAUCGAAAUCAUCGGAAAUGAAAACACGUUUCACAUAAAGCCUUAUGUUCUUAGUCUUCCUGUCAAUCAUGUCAUCCUUUUUCACAGCAGGCACGUAGAGAAUUGAUCUAAAUUCCACCUCACCCUGCAUUAAGCAAUGACAGCAUGCUAGAAUAAAUAAAAAAACAGUAUUAAGAUAUGCAUUGUUUAGACUUUAUGCAAAUAGACAGGAAAUGGCAAAGCAUUGAAAUAUUAUCUGAGAAUUAAAUCAGACCAUAUAUAGCCAUAUAAAUCAAAUGAUGAGACAUAAGGAGAAAAACAUGCUAUAAAUUUAGUUUUGGAGGUCCUGAUUUUGUCGGCCUAUAAAGAUAUAGGAAUUAGUUACCACAGAAAACCAAAUCCAGAAAACAAUGCCUGGGAUUCCCUCAUCGUCACAACAAAGAAUUCAAACAACAUGCGAGAGCAUACUUUAUUGCAUGCUAGGCAAUUCUUUGUACAUCAAAAAGCUAUUGGCACACUUUGGGCUCAAUAACUUGUCGAACUACAAAGAGACUUGAAAAAUAUAAAGAGAUCAUAAGCCCUUCACUUCAUACAAUAUAUUUCUAGAGCAGCAUACACAUAGGCAACAUUCAAGACAAGCAACUUCUUUUAAGAUGAUAUACACACCUCUGUAGUGAAGUGAGAUGAAGCCAAAGGAUCCAAAUACUCAUUAAAAGUCUUUUUGAAAAAGUCAUUGUACUCUUCUGUUGUCACGUCUUUAGGGUUUCGAAGCUGCAAAGAAGAAUCAAUGAAAAAACAUAAUUUCAUUGGAUUCAAAAGGAAAAAAAAAAAUCCACAUUAUAAAACAGAACGGUAGGACCAAAAUUUGCACAGAAGAACAAAAAAAAAAAAUUACCCAAAUAGGUUGUGUUUCAUUUGUGAGUUCCCAGUCCCAGUACCUCUCUAUAACCUUUUUAGUUUUCUUUUUCUUCUGCAUCACGAUUAGGUAUAAGCACAAAAAUUAAUUUCUUAUAAGGAAUUGCUAAUUUCCCAUGUAUCAUAAUCAUCAGAAGAAGUCAAAAAAUAGUAUGCCAAACGACAUAACAGUUACCUCAGCUUUAGAGUCAUCACCCCCCUCCUUAGCUUCAGCUGGAUCCUCAUCAACCUCAACCUAGUUAAGUGCAGGAAAAAGGAGAAAAAAGAGACAACCGAAAUUCAGCUUAUUAUAGGACAAAGAGUUAAGCUACUUCCAAAGGUCUGUAAGAUUUCAUCAUGAGUUGCAAAGGACGGAAUAAAAUCUUAGGCGAAGAUAGUCAAGAAAUUUUAUUAACUAAUUCUUACUUCUUUCGUGUAGCCUUUCUCUUGCCACGUGUAGAUUGGGAAAGAAACAAACUGCGAGUAAUUCUUCACAAGUUUUUGAAUCUUCUCAGGAUGAGCAAACUCCUUGUCAUCACGCUAAAAGGAAAGAGCAUGCGGAGAAGUUCAAGAAUAAGAGUUGAGAUGAUAGUAAUGAGUUAGCAUACAUAAACGAAUUCACAAGAAACCUUGAGGUACAAUGUAAGACGUGUUCCUCUUGGAAGAAGUUUAUCUGGGUCAGUCUCUUCUCUGAUGGUAAAAGAACUGGCACCAGCCUCACCCUCCCAAACAUACUGCUUAUCCGAUUUUGGGCUCUUUGUUGAAACAACCACCUGUUUCAACCAAAUGGAGCAGUUAGAAAAAGAAAUAAAUCACAAUUUGUAACUGGACAACACACAUAAGCAGAAAUAAAGAGAGAAAGGAUUAUAGCCUAUUUGCCUCACUACUCAAACAGCUUCUCUGCUCCAAGAAGUACCAACCAAGCAUCCCCAAACGAAAAAGGGAGCUUCAAUUGUGGCAAGAAGCUAAAAUAAGCUUCUUGCUGUCAAAAUAGAAGUGCCAAGAUGAAGCUUCUCAUUCAGCUUAAGCUCUAGUGGAAAUUUGGUUGAAAAUGAGGUUACUACUACUGCUUCUACAAACAGAAUUACUAAAAUAGCACUUCUACCAUAACUCGAGAGAAAGGUCAAACAUUUCAAUCAUUCAAUGACAGAAUAUGGUUUAAGCAUACCUUGUCAGAAACAAGAAAUGAUGAAUAAAAACCGACACCGAACUGGCCAAUUAAAUUGCUGUCGGAGCCAGCUUCCUGACUCUCCUGUAACAAAAGAUGCAGCCUUUGUUAAUAACAUCAAAAAAACAAAAAUUGAUACUAAAAGACAGAAUUAAAAGAGUCUUUCCCGAUUUGUGAGACCUUCAAUGCCUUUAGAAACUUUGCUGUUCCACUAUGUGCAAUAGUUCCUAGUGAGUCAACAAGUUCUUCUUUGGUCAUACCAAUUCCAGUAUCACUGAACAUAAUAAAUUAAGAAAGUUAUAUAAAGCUCCACAGAAGGCAUUCUCAAGCAUGAAGAAGACAAAAUGAAGCUACAGAUAAUAUUAGCUCGGACAACACUCACGUGAUUGUGAUUAUUCCAUUGUCUUUGUCAGCCUGGAUGCGGAUAUCAAGAUCAACAGCUUCCUUCAGAAGUUCAGGCUCCGUUACACUCAGAAAUCGCAACUUGUCAAGUGCAUCACUUGCAUUGCUGAGAAACAAAGAAUGCAGCUGUAAAACAUAGUUUCUUUGCAUAAACAAACUUGACAGUAAAUCUAUAACAGAUUAAGCACCUAGAUGUACAUGAUUAUUAUCUAUAACUCUAUAAUGCCAAAAUUGCUUUACUGAAGUCAAAAGAUUGUCCAAGACAAACAAACACAGAGGCUUUGAAGCAGACUUAUAAUUGUUAUGCCACUCACCUAACCAACUCUCGAAGAAAUACUUCCUUGUUGCUGUAUAAGCUGUGAACUAUCAGGUCCAUCAAGCGACUAACCUGCCAAAAAUAUAAAUAAUGGUACAACAUGUAAAACAAUUGUCCCCAAGCUCACUGCUGUUUGUAUAUAAUAUAAUGAUUACAAUUACAAAGCACCUCAGCCUGGUAUUCAAAUUUUUCAAGUUGCGCGUUCGAUGUAUCAACUGCUGCAGUAGUUGAUUCAUAUCGUUUGCUAACAAUGAUACUGUUUUGCAGGUUUGUUUCCACCAUGUGACCAAGUCCAGUAUAUUUUGAUCCUGAGAAAGGCGAAAACCAUCUCCUCUGAAACUGAGGAAGUCUGUGCUCUUGUUGCGGUACCUAGCAGUGAGCAACAAAAAGCACAUGUUAGUGCAAACUUGAGGGAUUGUAAUAUUAGAAUGUGCAGACAUGUAUACUGGAGAUGAAAAAGACAUGAUUCAUGUAUGACAAUACAAAAAUUCUUUACAGACGAUCUCAAGACACAAACAGGAUAUGUGAAUGGAGAGUUACGCAAGAAUACUUCUAGAAGUACCAAGGUCUUAGUACUACCACCUUAUUUUCAUUGGGGGGGCAUCCGAAUAAAUGAUCGACACCAUUGAACAUGAUCAAGGACAUUCAAACUUUCUGGAACUGAAAUUUCGUUAAUUUUCAGCAUCAUUUCCCUAGUGAUCAAGUAGCUCCAUAAUUGGACAGUUAUUGGACAGUUUCAAUAUAUGAGGUGUUUUCCUAUGCAAUAGAUUAGGACAAUCCAAAUAGGUUGAAAUUUUUAUACAAAUUUCUUUUCCUAUCGAGAUCAAGGUCAAUACUGUGAUUUCAAGAUUAGCAAUUCUAUCAUAUAGGUAUGCAAGGUGAUUCAAUUUUGACCACUCAUUUUCCGGUCGCUUGACAAACUAGAAAGUGAUUUCAAAAUUUAUGAAAUUUGAUUCCUAAAAGGUUCAAAUUAGGGGUGUCAGCGAGCCGAACACGAGCGAGCUAGGGGCCGGCAUGAGCCGGACACGAGCUGGCUCGUUAAAGUAUCGAGCCGGAAAAUUCAGCUCGCAAGGACUAGAUUGGAUAUAUAUAAAAAAUAAAUUUAUAAAAUUUUACCCAUUAGAUUUUGAUCUAAUGGUUGAAACUUUACACAUAAAUAAGUCUUUUCUUAAUUGAGUUCGUCUUUAUAUUUUUAUUUUGCUAAAAAUCAAAUAAUAAAAAAUAUAUAUUAUAUAUAAUUAUUUAUUUAUAUAUAUAAAUAUAAAUAAAUAUAAAUUAAAUAAAUUAUAUAAAUAUAAAAUAUAUGUAUUCAAGCUGUUAUCGAGCCAAACACGAGCGAGUUAACCCCAACUUGUGUUCGGCUCAUUUAUUAAACGAGCUGAAAAAUUCAGCUUGUGUUCAGCUCGUUGACUAAACAAGCGAUUCGAUCUCGAGCUCAUUUCGAGUCGAACACGAGCUGGCUCGCGAACAGCAAGCUGGAUUGCCACCCCUAGUUCAAAUUCCCUAUAUUGAAAAUCAGGUGGAGGUAACAAGAGGUGAUACUUCUAAAAGCAUUCUACAAAAAGAAAAAGCUUAAAGCACAGAAUUACCUAUCACAAUACAACUAAUUAAUUAAGUGCUUGUUUUGAGCAACUGUUAAAACUUACAUGCUCAACCUAGUGCUCUCUUCUAAAAGCCUAUUAAAGAUAUACCAUGAAAUAAUGAUAUAAUAACAGAAAAUAUGUAUCCAUUCUCAAAUAGCCCCUCUCUUUUUUUGGGGGUUGGGGGGGGGGCAUAGACACCUUCUGAACUUCAUUUUUUUUUAUUUAAGAUAUUGCCCAAAGGGAAUAGCUUCAUUGAAUUAAACAGCUCUAUUGGCUGCAAACGGUUAACAGUUGAUAAAACACACAAUUCUUUUACUUGUUAAAGAAUUCAGAACAGCUAAUCUUAACAAAAUCAACAUUUGAUUAAACAUCAAUAAUAAAUUCAAAAAUUAAGCAGGUUUCAAUUAAAAGAAAAUUAGUUGACCAGCCUCGUUCAAUAUGACCAAUAGUUGAGGGUCUCCCUAUACAUUUUUACGUGUAAUAACUUUAGAAUGCAUGGCCAAAAGAAAAGGUAAAAUACAAGUUUGAUAAGAGUAAAAGCAAGUUUAUUUCAUUACAGAAAAAGGUCACCUGCUAUGAUGGAAAUGUAGAAUAUAAAUUAAUGAGAACCAAAAAAAAAGAAAAUGAAAAGAAAGAAGGACGCCGACACCUAAUACCCAAAAAAAUUGAGAAGUAAACAAAAACCUAAAGUAGCAUCAACUGACGAAUCAGAUAACAAUCAAUAGAACAAAGAGUAUCAUUUCACAAUCGAAUUUAAGCGAUAACGAGACAAUUUCGCAUCAAAACCAGCAAAACCCUAACUAAAUCCCACCCUAUUAAUUCGAAAACAAACACCAUAUAAGCUACGACAUCAAAGGGAAUGAUUCGAAUACCGAGCUCGAAAAGGAGGGGAGCGGAGGUGCUCGAGCUCGCGGCGAACGAAGCGGAGACGGGGAGAGGGGAGGGGGGCUGAAGAGGCGGCGGCGGCCGCGGAGGGCGCCGUCGCGCCGUAUCUGGCGGCGGCGGAGAGGGAUCGCCUGGAAACCCUAAGCAUUUUCUCUUCGUCGUCCUCUCGAGGGUUUCAAGGGUUUGCGAUGGAGAAUGGAGGAGGAGAAUUAGGGUUUUAGGAGGGAGUUUAUGGAGAAAUGGGCUUUGCAGUGGAGCUGCUUAUAAUAUGGGGGGGAGCUUCUGGAUACAAGAAGGGCACGUAGGGUGCGGGGAUCCAACGGCUGCGAUUGUGCGAAACGAUCCGGGCCGAGUUGGGGACUCAGUAGGCUCCGGAAGAGCUGAGAAAUAACAGCCUGCAUCUGUUGGGUAAGGAUAGGGGUGUAAAUGAGCCGAACACGAGUNUCCACGCACCCCCCACCUUCCUCGCCUCCAACCCCGCCAAGGCCGCGCCACGACUUUUUUUUUUUUUUGCUUUUUUCUUUUCUUUUCUUCUCCGACUCUUCUCCACCGUCUCCGACGACGAUGCCUCUCUCGUCCUUCUCGUCCUUCCCCGCCCUUCUCAUCUCUCCCUCUCCCUCAUUCUCUGCCGCCUCCGACGACGAUGCAUUUUCGCCGGCGCCGACGUCGACACCGUGGAGGUCACUGCGGCGUUACAGGCUCGGAGCGGGGGUCCUUAGCGGUGUCGUCGCCGGCACCGUGGCUGUUGGCAGAGAAGGUGACAAAAAAAAAAUAUAGAAAAAACAGAAAAAAAAAAUAAAGAUAAAAAAUUAUAUAAAAAGAAUGAUGAAUAUCAAAUUAUAUCGUUAACUGCAAAAAAAAUUAUAAGUUGCACUAUUUAAGAUGUAAACUGUAGCUUUAAGAUGAAAACUACACUCUUUAAACGAAAAUUACACUCUUUGAAAAAUAUUUACACUAUUUAUCUUUUUAUUACACUCUUUCAGAUGUAAACUGCAUCUAUUAAGAUGAAAGUUACACUCUCUAAACAAAAGUUGCGCUGUUUCUCCUCUUGUUGCACCAUUUUUUCUCUUGUUACACUAUUUUUUAUCUUAAACUGCACCCUUUUAAGAGAUAUUCAUACUGUUUCUCCUCUUAUUGCACCAUUUCUGUGUAAAUAAGAGGAGAAAUAGUGCAACAAGAGGAGAAACAGUGCAAGAAGAGAAGAAACUGCACUAUUUUAAGAGAUAUAUAUACUGUUUCUCCUCUUGUUGCACCAUUUCUGUGUAAGCAAGAGGAGAAAUAGUGCAACAAGAGAAGAAACUGCACUGUUUUAAGAGAUAUAUCUACUGUUUCUUCUCUUGUUGCACUGUUUCUCCUCUUGUUGCACCAUUUCUGUGUAAACAAUAGGAGAAAUAGUGCAACAAGAGGAUAAACAAUGCAAUAAGAGGAGAAACUGCACAUUUUUAAGAGAUAUUUAUACUGUUUCUCCUCUUGUUGCACCAUUUCUGUGUAAAUAAGAGGAGAAAUAGUGCAACAACAGAAGAAACAGUGCAACAAGAGGAGAAACAAUAUAAAUAUCACUUAAAAGGAUGCAGUUUAAGAUAAAAAAUAGUAUAAUUUUCAUUCAAAGAGUAUAAUUUUUAUCUUAAAAUAGCAGUUUACAUCUUAAAUAGUGCAACUUAUAAUUUUUUUUGUAAUUAACGAUAUAAUUUCAUCUUCAUCCUUCUUUUUAUAUAAUUUUUUAUCUUUAUUAUUUUUUUCUGUUUUUUCUAUAAUUUUUUUGUCACCUUCUCUGCCAACAGCUACGGCGCCGGUGACGACGCCGCUAAGGACCCCCCGCUCCGAGGCUGUAGCGCCGCAGUGACCUCUACGGUGUCGACGUCGGAGCCGGCGAAAAUAAAUCGUCGUCGGAGGCGGCAGAAAAUGAGGGAGAGGGAGAGAUGAGAAGGACGCGGAAGGGCGACAGGCGUCGUCGUCGGAGACGGUGGAGAAGAGUCGGAGAAGAAAAGAAAAGAAAAAAGCAAAAAAAAAAAAGUCGCGGCGCGGCCUUAACGGGGUCGGAGGCGAGGAAGGUGUGGGGUGUAUGGACGAGGGCAAGGGCAAGGGCGAGAGCAUGAGGGUGAGAGGCGAGACGGACCGUUUCUGCCUCCGCUCCGCCUCCGCUGUACCGGCGAGAAAAAAAAAAAAGAACGAGAGAAACGAAGAAGAGAGAGAAAGAGGAAAGAAAAAAAGUAAUAAUGGUAUUUUGGUCAGUUUGCUGAAAAAGCAGACCGAAUCUGCAAAAAUGAAAAAGGUGGCCCGAUUUUGCAAAAAUCCAAAAUAAGUGGAUUUUUUAUGCAAAUUGGCCAAAAAAGAAUUCUAACAAGUUGGUUUGCAAAAUCAAAUGUUUGAAAGAUUAAGUAACUUCAUUUAUUUAUUUAUUUAUUUUAUUUUAUUAUAAAAGGGAAUUAUUCGGGGGAAUACUUAAUCGCUUCCCUCCGAAUACCCGAACCAUUUCGCCCUCUCUAAACCCUCUUUCUCUCUCUCUCUCUCUCUCUCUCUCUCUUUCGAUCUCGAUCUCUCCUCCGUCCCCGCGAAUAUGCUCCGAAUCCCUGAGACGGCCGUGUGCAAUAAAGCGCGCGACCAAACCCUAGCCCCGAAAUGGAGGGGGAGAGGAGGGCGAGGAGGCGGAGGAGGAGGAGGAGGAGAUGGGGUGCCGGAGCUCGAAGCCCGAGGAGGCGUCGCCGGUGGUGGCGCUGUGCCGGGAGCGGCGCGACCUGAUCCGCGCAGCCGGGGAGCGCCGCUUCGCCCUCGCGGCGGCGCACGCAGCCUACUUCCGCGCCCUGGCGCGCGUCGGCGCCGCCCUCGACCGCUUCGUCCAGGAGGGCCUCGCCGCCGCGGCGGCGGCGGAGGCGGCCGCGGCGGGGGCGUCGCCCGUGCUCACGCUCCCCCCCUCCGAGGGGAAGGGCAAGUCCAAGCCCAAGAUCGACGGAUCCGAGCGCAAUGGCGACAAUGGCGACAGUGGCGGAGGAGGCGCGGCCUCCUCCUCUUCUCUCCCUUCGAUUUCUCGCUCCGCUUCGCGCGAUUCGCACCUACAUUCCCAUUCGGACUCGGAUCACGGCGAAAUCUCGGAGGAAAAUGGUGGAAUCGAGGUUGGAGCAGGUGGAGUACCACAAGGAGAAGCAUAUGGAGGAGGAGGAGGAGGAGGGUUUUCAUGGUCUAAUCCUUCUUACCCUUUUUAUCCUCCUUAUCCUCCUCCUUAUCCUCCUUCUUAUGCUCCUUUCUCCAAUGUUGGAAAUGUGAUCCCCAAUUACCACUACAUGAAGUCGAGUUCGACGAAACCAACCACAGUGUUCCAAGAACCCUACACUACUUACUCCAAUCAAGCAUUUGUGAGUUACGAUUACGAGGAUAAUUAUCCGAUUUAUGGUUAUUCCAUGGGCUCUACCAUUCCUCCUGUUCAAGAUCAGACUUUUUAUGAGAAUGCGGCACCGGCGAGUCCGCGAAGGGAAGCGAAAUCCACUGCUCCACCGCCGCCGCCGACGGCGGCAGCAGAGGGCUCCUCUUGGGAUUUCUUCAAUCUUUUCAAUUCUUAUGAGCAGUUGUUUCCGGGGUAUGAUCGGAGUGGGUACGCGGCGACUUCGUUGACAAGUAGCCCGAAUUCAAGCGAGGUGAGGGAGAGAGAAGGGAUUCCUGAUUUGGAAGACGAGACGGAGCAAGAGACGGUGAAAGAAGCAGCGAAAGAGAGGAAGGUGACGGGAAGUGACUCAGGAAAGAAGGGUUCCAGUGUUGGGAGUUCAAAAGGAGCCGCGGAACACAAAGAGGAUGAGGUGAAUGAUGAAGUUGUUAUAGAGAAUGAGAGUAUUCACUCCUCGGAAGAUAGCGAAGCGAGAGGGAGUGUAAAGGAGGAGCAGGAGAAGGAGGAAGUACAUGUGACGAAGGUUAAAGGAGUGAGCUUCGAGGACGAUACAUCAUUGGUUAGUAAUGGUAGCCGAGCGAGUAAAGAGAAUGUAAUGUCUGUUCAUGGGACGAGAGACGUCGCCGAAGUGGUGCAGGAAAUAAAGGAACAGUUCAACUACGCAGCGAGUUGUGGUGAAGAGGUCUCGAGAAUUCUCGAGGUUGGGAGGCUGCGCUAUAGAUCGAGGAAUAAGAUUUUAAGAUGUGGGUAUUUCACUUCUUCGACUUUAUAUCUUAAAUAUAUUGCCCACUUUAGUAUGCAUGUAAACUUGCAGAUGUGAUUGAUUGUCCUAAUUUUAGGUUUAAGCCUUUUCAGCUUAAGUUAGAAGCAAGUUCCAUAUUAUUGCAAAACAACAGUUCUAUAGGCGAUAUUCUGAAUUGCGAAUUGAGUACAUUGGCUUUUCUUAUUUAGCACUUGUGCAUCUUUUGCGCAGGAAAUUUUUUUGCCAGUAUUUUUCCUGCGUUUAUUUUAAAGAAAUGCUUCAUUGUCAGAAAAAUAUGCAGAAAAUUGAUUAAAUAUAGUUCAUUGCAGUUAUCUUAUCAAGGAUCUUGUAUUCUAUGUCUCUGCGUUCCGCAACAUCAUCUCGGACAUCGAAGAGCUCUCCACAUUCAACUGGAGAUAUGAAGCAGAAUAUGGCUAUUCAUACAAAUUCCGAGAGGGUGAAUGAUUUUGAGCUUAGCAACCUUACAUCAGUAUUGGACAGGUUGCAUGAAUGGGAGAAAAAACUUUACAAGGAAGUUAAGGUACGUCCUAUAACACAAUUAAGCACUAGUUGUUUGUGUGGUAUGCAGGAUAACCGCUUAAAUGGUUGGAUCAACUGCCAUUUUUGGCCUUUUUCACUCUCUGAGAUUAGUGUUGUGUGCAAAAAGAAGAAUCAUGAAAUUAGUUUCUAAUGACAUUAUCAUGUGACUGUUCUAGGAAGAAGAAAAUCUGAGGGUCAUCUAUGAUAGAGAGUGGAAGCGACUAAAAGCAUUAGAUGAAAAUGGAGCAGAGGCUCAUGAAAUUGAUUCCACUCGGGCUUCAAUAAAGGCGUUGGUGACGAGAAUAAAUAUUGUCAUCAGAUCUGUAAAUGCUAUUUCUAGCAGGAUUCACAAGCUAAGAGAUGAUGAAUUGCAGCCGCAGCUCAUCGAAUUAAUCCAAGGGUAUUGAAAUUUGAAAACCAACCUCUCUUUGUGCAUAUGUUAAAAACAUCAGGUUUCUUCUACAUGUUGAUGUGAAAAUAUAUUAAUAUGAAUCGCAGCUUCUGUUUGGACAGGUUUUAUUUGUUUUCCUUGAACUUCACAAUUUUGUUUUAGCAAAAUAGUAGGGUCCAUUGGGCCGAAGAGUCGUCAUAUAUUUGCUCCUUGUAGUUCCAUGAAAUAACAUAGGGAUAUCUAUGGCUUCAUGGUGACAUUGUGAUUAAGUGCCAUUUUUUCUGCAGACUAAUAAGAAUGUGGAAGUUUGUCCUCGACUGUCAUCGCAAGCAAUUCCAAGCGAUGGUUGAAAGCAAAGCCCAAAACCUAAUACCAAAAUUUGGGGGUCUACGAAGUUCUGCUUCAAAGGCGACGAUAGAGUUAGAGCUAGAGCUCCUGAACUGGGCUUCGUGUUUCAGAGAUUGGAUUCAAACCCAAAAGGCUUACAUCGAAGCCCUUAACGGCUGGUUGCUGAAAUGGCUUCUCCAGGAGAAAGAAGAAACACCUGAUGGAGAAGUACCAUUCUCUCCCAGCCGAAUGGGAGCCCCUCCUGUGUUCAUCACUGCCAAUGAUUGGUGUCAAACCCUGGAAAGGAUAUCCGAAAAUGGUGUAAUAGAUACAAUGCGAGCUUUCGCUAUAAAUGUGCACAGCUUAUGGGAGAAGCAGGACGUGGAGCAGCAUCAGAAGCUGAAAACUGAAUAUCUGUCCAAAGAUUUUGGAAAAAGGCUUAAAUCUGUGCAAAAGGAAUACGGGAUUAAUGGGCCUGUAGAUGUUGAUAAAAUAGCUAUGAUUCUCGCCAGUAACGGGCCGAUCGAUGACCGCAUGGUGGGCUUGGAUGCAUUGAAGAAGAGAUUAGAUGAGGAGAGGGCCAAACAUGAGGAAGCCGUUAAACAAGUCCGAGAGGCGAGCGCGACCAAUUUGAGAGCGGGCCUGAUUCCGAUUUUUGAAGCGUUGGGGAACUUCACUAUCGAGACACUAAAGGGUUAUGAAGGAGUCAGAAUUCCGAAUGUUGGCGGAGUAACUUAAGUAAAAGCUUCAUGUAACCGGCUUUGGCUUUUCUGUCAAGCCGAAAGGUGGAAAAAUCUCUGCUUCUCCAAAUUUUUGCAGCUAAAAGAUCAAAUUUCGCAGUGGAAUUACAUUGAUGAGUUGAACAACUCGUCGGAGGUCACUUUGGUGACGAAAGUUUCAACCUUCUGGUUCAGCAAUAAGCUAUUUCAACGGAUUGAGGAGCUAUUCAGAUAAUAAGUAGAGAAUUACUUGAUUUAUUUUGCGAUUUUCAGGGAGGUGAUUUUCCCCGUGGAACCGGCUUACGCAUAGAAAGAUCGCAUGCUCCAGGAGGCGACAAAUUUAUCGAAACCAGAAGCAGCAGCAGUUGAUUUCUCAGAAGAUAAUGAGCUGUAGAGUGAAGUAGUGAACUAGUUUAGGAAUAACAUUGCUCUGUGCUGUUCUCUAGAUUAUGGCUUUUCAAAUCAAUUUUUUAUCUCUAGCUGUGAGGGGAAUUUUGUCAAAAGGCCCUUGAGGAAGGGGCCAUGAGUUCUUGUCUCUUUUAUUUUUCUUUUCCCCUUGUGAUGUAAAUACAUUUCCAAUCUAUUGCAGCAUCAAUUGUUGUAUGGCUUAUUUGGAGGCAGAUUUUGUGCUUACUGGAUCUGAUUUUUUCUUUCUUUUUUUUUUUCUGUUUUUUGGUAGGGACUAAAUCACCUCAUUUUUUAAACUCGCAUGCGGGGGAUCAAAACCUGAUCUCUUGAUCGAAGAUUCGAGAUACCAACCAACUGUGCUAAACAAUCUGUCUAAAUUGAUCUCGCUGUAGUUUCGGGGGAACAAUCAUGUUACCCACGAAUCCGGAGACUAAAUCACCUCAUUUUCUAAACUCACGUGUGGGGUUCAAAACCCAAUCUCUAGAUCAAAGAUCCGGGAUACCAACCAACUGCGCUAGACAGUGUAUCUGAAUUUGAUUUUGUUGUAGUUUCAAAGAGUUAAAUCACGUUUCCCAAGAAUUCGAGGACUAAAUCACCUCAAAUUUUUUUUUUUUACACUCCCAUGCAUGGAUCAAAACCCGAUCUCUUGAUCGAAGAUCCGGGAUACCAACCAACUUUGCUAGGCAGUGUUUCUGAACUAAUCUUGUGGUAGUUUCUAUUGCAAGUUAUGGCUGUAUCUCCAGAUCUUCUAUGUCAAAUGUGUUGUGAACCUGCUCGACUGAUCGAAUUGAAUGGAAUAAGAUUUUUUUAAAAAAUUACCAAUUAGGGUGAAAUAAUAUAGGGAUGAGAUUUAUAUCAUUCACGCAUAUUUGGUGUAACAUCGGACACAUAAUGGUAUGCUCAAAUUAUUAGUGCAAAAUACUUGAGUUCAAUGGUUGGCAUUGAAAUCAUAGUUGGAUCAUCUAACCCUAGGAGUGUAAAUGAGCCGAACAUGAGCGAGCUGGGUCGGCUUGUGUUCGACUCGCUUAAUAAACGAGCCGAACACGAGCUAGCUCGUUAAAGUAUCGAGCUACAAAAUUCAGCUCGUGUUCGGCUCGUUAAUAAACGAGGCGAACACGAGAUGGCUCGUUAAAGUAUCAAGCUACAAAAUUCAGCUCGUGUUCGGUUCGUUAAUAAACAAGCCGAAUACGAGCUGGCUCACGAGCUGCCCAACGAACAAUAAGUUAAAAGGAUUAGAUUGAAUAUAUAAAAAAAAUAAAUUUAUAAAAUCUUAUCCGUUAGACUUUGAUCUAAUAGUUGAAACUUUAUAUAUAAAUGAGUUUUUUUUUAUAAUUGAGUUCGCCUUUAUAUUUUUAUUUUGCAAAAAAAUAAAUAAUAAAAAUAUAUAUUAUAUAUAUAAUUAUUUAUUUAUAUAUAUAAAUAUAAAUUAAAUAAAUUAUAUAAAUAUAAAAUAUAUAUAUUCGAGCUAUUAUCAAGCCGAACACGAGCGAACUGACCUCAGCUCGUGUUCGGCUCGUUUAUUAAACGAGCCGAAAAAUUCACCUCGUGUUCAGCUCGUUUACUAAACGAGCGAUUCGAUCUCGAGCUCAUUUCGAGCCGAAUACGAGCUGACUCGCGAACAGCGAGCUGGAUUGCCACCCCUAGGUAAGGCUCGGUUGGGUGAAAAGGCGCAAUGGGAAAGUAAAAUUUAAAAUAAAAAAAUAAUUUAUUUUAUAAAGAAAUAUUAUGUUAUGUAGAUUAUUAUAGUUAUUAUAAUAAUUUGGCUCAUUUACAUAAAAAAAAAAAAUUAAUAAAAUUUAUUUUUGAAAUUUUAUAGACUCAUACCAAAUUUUAAAAAUCAAAAUGAUCUUAUUAUUUUUCCUCAUUCCUUUUCCUUAAUUUCCUCCUCCCUCUUAUGUCCUUUGACACCACCGUCGUCUCAUUCCUUUUCCUUUUUUUCCACUGCCUUCCUCUCCCUUCUCCUCCUCCACCGUCACUGUCGCAUAUCAGGAACGCAAACACGAGAGCGAUGAUCUUAGAGGGGUUCCCCCUGAUAAUAGCGGGGCGACGGUCGAGAAAGUCUAGGUUGCGCUGACAAUAACAUGCAGAUGAUGGAGGAGAAGGGAGACAAAGGGGGCAUCUAUGUCGUUCUUUUUCUUA
rnacentral:lncRNA from 1 species